CCAUCCGUUCGGGCAACCAAUCAUGCAAGCAUCUGGCAUGGUGAUCAGGGAGAGUGUGUGGAGCACUUUAGCUAGCUGCUGCUGCACUAGUUAAUUAAUCAAAUCAACCAAUUGUUUAGUUUGUUCUUUUCUAUUGGGAUUAUUCUAGCUUGCCGUUCAUUAAUCCAUGGUUUGUGCUGAUGGAGGUGAUGAUUAGCAGUGGGUCCCAUUGAACCAGACACUAUUUGUUUAAGGCAACAAGGCUGAGUUUUGCACAUUUUAUCGUAUCAGUUUUCUAGUAUUGCUGUAUAUCAUGGGGAAUCUAUUUGUUCGAUGCAAGUAAUCCAUGUUUAGAACAAGGUGAUUUUCCAUAGAAUUCUUGCUAGGGCAAGAAAUGCUUGGAAGACGCAGCACUUUAACAGAACUAGCUAAUUGCCAUGUGUUGCAACAGGAGCAUAUUCUAGUGAUUCAAUAUCAAUUUUGUCCUCAGUCGCAAAAAAAAUAUCAAUUUUGUCUGACAUAUAUACACCAACCAUAUUCUAGAUUUUGGUAAGAUUUAAUUUUAUUUAAGUAUAGAUAGGGAAAGGCAAGAAAAACAUUGAUUUAAUUAAGGUUUGGUAAGAUUUAAUUUGAUUGAGGUAUGGGUAGGCGAAGUCAAGUAAAAAUUUGAUAUGGCUAAGAUUUUGAUAAGAUUUGAUUUGGAAAAGUACCGUUUUCAUUUAGAUUAUCUCAAGCUACUGUAUUUACGUCGCUUUUUAGUUUGUGUGCCAAUGGUUGAGAUUACAAAAAAAUCAACAGAAAACUAAAGGGGGGAGGAUGUGGGGGAGGAAAAACCCCAUGGAGAUGAGGCGAACCUACUAACCAUCCUUUAAUAGUAGAGAUUGGGGGAGCAAGAUAUUCGUUCUAGCAUUCCAAAUAGACCUACAACUCCUUUCCUAAUACUUUUAGGUUUUAAUUGGUCUUAAAGUCGUGGUAGUUUCCGUCAAAUUUUAGAAGAAGAAACAGCUAUGUCCAUAAUACUAACUUAGGUACGAAAAUCCUCUUGAAGGGUUAUUUAAUAAAAUGUAAUCCUAGAUUUUAUAAAUUAGAAUUUACACUGCAGGAAUCCUCGUAAACUAGAAAACUGCUAUUCUAUGGCACAACCGUAGAAAAACAAUAGUUUAUGGUGCACCUGACAAUAGUGAUAUCCAUCACGUUGAACCUUUCCUCCAUAUCCUUAUACUCUUCCGUACAAAAAAAAGAGAGAGAAUAUAUUCUCAUAUUCUUGAGAUUCUCUGCAUCUUCACAUUUUUUGUUGCACAGACUCCCUCUUGCAGUUCAGCAACAUGAAUCUCUCACCACUAACAUAAAUCUUUGUUACUUAAUUAAACCAAUUAAUUGUUUUGUUUGCUUUGUUGUAUUGGGAAAUAUUUUCUUUAAUCUGUUUGUGCUUAUGGAGGUAUAACCGAAUCAAGCCACUAUUUGUUUAAGGUUCAUCCAUCUUAAAGAGGCUAGGUUUUCCACAUUUUAACGCUUUCAUUUAAUAUGGCUCUUCGAUUUUUCAGUGAUAUUUGGAAUACCUACAUUUUAUUUAAAAAGUUAAGAAGCAAAAAAAUUGACCUAGCGAAUUUGUGUGAAAAAAUGUAGCGUUGCAUUCCGAAAAGGUGUACUUUUAUAGAAUGUAUGGGCAUCUCAAUAAUGCUUUAUAGGUGUGCUUUUAAUCGGUGCUACAAAGUGGGAAUUCUCGUGAAAUUUUAGAGAAACAACGUUGUGAAAACACAAACUUAAGUAUUAAAUGAUACUAAACCGUUGUCUCAAAAAUGCACUUUUAGGGUUCUCAUAAAUUGAUGCUUAGGAUAUCUCUAGCCGAACACCUAAAAUGGGUUAACUCGUCAAAAGAUUCUAAAAGAUUCCCUUUCGAGUAGUUAAGAUGCAUCUAUCUGAACUCCUAUUUGCUUUAGCUACUCAAUUUUUUUAGAAGAAGCAUCCUUCGGCUCUCAAUUUUGAGCCACCGAAAGGAAUUCUCAAAAAAAGAUUCACUUCGCUCAAUGGCCUCCACCACAACAGUACCUAUGUUGCUUUCCUUUCCCAUGUCGGCCAUCGUGCAGGAUAGUCGACACCCCGCAACCCCACCGACUCUCGGCCCAAUCACCGCAUAUAUAUCUUCCCUGCCGCCAUUAGAAGCUUGUGGGCGAAUAAGGCCACCGACGAGCUUUGUUUCAUCCAAAACAGAACUGGUGGAUGACCACAUUGGUGUAGAGCACCCGCAGGGGAGCUAAAUGCGGCCGGAAUCUCGGCCAUGGCAGCGUCCUUCCCCAAAGCCUGAGUUCUACCAUGCCAGGCUUUCCCUAAGAUGGGUAAUAACGACAUCGAAGAGAAUUGAGAUCCCAAAGCCUACAGGCCAUACCAUCAGCCCCGCUAUCCACCCACGGCCUCGGCAUCGCUGCAACGCCGCCCACGGCGGCUCUCACCUCCUCCGCUUGCAACGUGGUCGAAGAAUUGCCUAGGUGAUUUUUGUUGUUGGUGGUGUGUUAUUGUUGUUGUGUUAAGAAUAAGGAUGGGCGGUGAUGCUUGGAUCAAUUGAUUACAUGCACCGGACAUGGAAGAAUUGUCCGGCGGGAGGAAAAGGUCGGUACAAAGGGCAUUUAAAAGAUCCAAUCAUCAUUCUUGAGGUUGUUGCAUCAGGAUCUAUAUGUUUGGCAACCACUAGUGGCCGGGGCCUGCCAUUGCGGGCCGUUUAAGAGAAAGCUAUGCGCAUCUCGUCAUCAUGUCAAAAAAUUCAAAAAAUAUUCUCGCGUCACGUGGACAUCACAGUCAUCUUAAGAGGAAAAAGAAAAAAACUAGAAAAACUUCUCUCAAAAAAACCUUCCUACAUUUAAAAAACUCUAAGAAAACUACUUUCUCACCGUGACCAACCAGUGCGCGCCACAUGGCGUAGCUGAUUGACCACCAUUCUAGCGCCUCUUGAUGGGUUUAAUUGGAUCAUUUGGCUCUCAUAAUGACCUGAAUAUGUUUUCGGGGUCACCGCUGCUUGAAAGUCUUGUUGCCGAAGAUGCUCGACCUUGCAACUAUGUCGACAAUGACUAUCGGUACAUGAUGGGCUACUACCUUGCAGAUGAUAUCUAUCCCCCAAGGGUCGCAUUUCUGAAGACAAUCCAACGUCCUCAAGGCAACAAGAGAUUCCACUUUGCAACAUGUCAAGAUUCGGCAAGAAAGGAUGUUGAGAGAGCUUUCAGAGUGCUUCAAAAGUGCUUUUGUGAUUAUUCGUGCACUGGUCGAGUAUAGGAAGUCACAUGUCCUAUGAAAAAUCAUGACAUGUUGCAUCAUCUUGCAGAAAACGACCAUUGAGAAUGAGAGAGGCAUAUAAGAGAACUUUCGGUACAUCUCCAAUGGAGAUCCUGUCGAGCCAGAACACAACCACAAAAGAAAGAUUAGAGCAGACGUAGCCCAAGAGAAGAAGACAAAAAGGACAAUGACUUGAGCUAAAAUGAACAAAUGAGACCAUCAUUAUCUUUUGUGGGCUAGGUUUAUGAACACGGCAUGGACCGUUCCUGCAACUGCAUACGACGCCAACGCUCCAAGCCAUGACUUGUGGUUGUGCAACACCAAUGUUGAAGAAUAGAAUCCACCUGGUACUGCUUGCCAAACUAGGGCCGUACCGGGAACCAAUCCUGACUUCGCCAUUGGGACAUGAAGUGACUGAACUCAAGGGUGUGUUUGGUAGCCCGCUUACAGGCCAACUAGCCCAUGCGGGACGAAACUAGGUUGUUUGGCUGCCUGCAUAGCACGAAGAUUAAAGCACCCCCAGCCAGGACCGCUAGGAACGGCUAAAUUGACAGUUUCUAGCGAGCCAGGCUCGGUUGAGGCAGGGGAAGGGUGUUGGGGAAUGCAGUAAUUUCAAAAAUUUCCUACGCACACGCAAGAUCCAUCUAGGUGAUGCAUAGCAACAAGAGGGGAGAGUGUUGUCCAUGUACCCUCGUAGACCGUAAGCGGAAGCGUUAUGAAAACGCGGUUGAUGUAGUCGUACGUCUUCAUGAUCCGACCGAUCCUAGCAUCGAAGGUACGGCACCUCCGCGAUCUGCACAUGUUCAGCUCGGUGACGUCCCAUGAACUCUAGAUCCAGCUGAGGUCGAGGGAGAGUUUCGUCAGCACGAUGGCGUGAUGACGGUAAUGAUGAAGUUACCGACGCAGGGCUUCGCAUAAGCUCUACUACGAUAUGACCGAGGUGGAAAUCUGUGGAGGAGGGCACCGCACAUGGCUAAACAAUCAACUUGUGUGUCUAUGGGGUGCCCCCUCCCCCCGUAUAUUAAGGAGGGUAGGAGGAGGCUGGGCGGCCCUAGAGGUCACGCCAAGGGGGGAGGAAUCCUCCUCCUAGUAGGAGUAGGAUUCCUCCUUUCCUAGUCCAAUUCAGAGGGGGAAGGAAGGAGAGGGGGGAGAGGGAAAGAGGGGCCGCGCCCCCCUCCCCUAGUCCAAUUCGGACUCCCUUGGGGAGGCCACCUCCUGGUUGCUGCCCUCUCUCUCCCCUAAAGCCCACUAAGGGCCCAAUAACUUCCCGGGGGGUUCUGAUAACCCUCUGACACUUUGGUUUUAUCCGAAACCUCCCGGAACACUUCCGGUGUCCGAACAUAGUCGUUCAAUAUAUCAAUCUUUAUGUAUCGGCCAUUUUGAGACUCCUCGUUAUGUCCGUGAUCACAUCCGGGACUCCGAACUACCUUCGGUACAUCAAAACACAUAAACUCAUAAUACCGAUCGUCGUCGAAUGUUAAGCGUGCGGACCCUACGGGUUCGAGAACUAUGUAGACAUGACCGAGACUCGUCUCCGGUCAAUAACCAAUAGCGGAACCUGGAUGCUCAUAUUGGUUCCUACAUAUUCUAUGAAGAUCUUUAUCGGUCCAAUCGCAUAACAACAUAUGUUGUUCCCUUUGUCAUCGGUAUGUUACUUGCCCGAGAUUCGAUCGUCGGUAUGUCAAUACUUAGUUCAAUCUCGUUACCGGCAAGUCUCUUUACUCGUUCCUAAUGCAAUAUCCUGUAACUAACUCAUUAGUCACAUUGCUUGCAAGGCUUAUAGUGAUGUGCAUUAUCGAGAGGGCCUAGAGAUACCUCUCCGAUACACGGAGUGACAAAUCCUAAUCUCGAUCUAUGCCAACUCAACAAACACCAUCGGAGACACCUGUAGAGCAUCUUUAUAGUCACCCAGUUACGUUGUGACGUUUGAUAGCACACUAAGUGUUCGUCCAAUAUUCGGGAGUUACAUAAUCUCAUAGUCAUAGGAACAUGUAUAAGUUAUGGAGAAAGCGAUAGCAACAAACUAAACGAUCAUCGUGCUAAGCUAACGGAUGGGUCAAGUCAAUCACAUCAUUCUCUAAUGAUGUGAUCCCAUUAAUCAAAUGACAACUCAUGUCUAUGGUUAGGAAACAUAACCAUCUUUGAUCAACGAGCUAUUCAAGUAGAGGCAUACUAGUGACACUCUGUUUGUCUAUGUAUUCACACAUGUAUUAUGUUUCCGGUUAAUACAAUUCUAGCAUGAAUAAUAAACAUUUAUCAUGAUAUAAAGAAAUAUAAAUAACAACUUUAUUAUUGCCUCUAGGGCAUAUUUCCUUCAGUCUCCCACUUGCACUAGAGUCAAUAAUCUAGAUUACAUUGUAAUGAUUCUAACACCCAUGGUGUCUUGGUGUUGAUCAUGUUUUGCUCGUGAGAGAGGCUUAUUCAAUGGGUCUGCAACAUUCAGAUCCGUAUGUAUCUUGCAAAUCUCUAUGUCUCCCUCCUUGACUUGAUUGCGGAUGGAAUUGAAGCAUCUCUUGAUGUGCUUGGUUCUCUUGUGAAAUCUGGAUUCCUUUGCCAAGGCAAUUGCACCAGUAUUGUCACAAAACACUUUCAUUGGAACCGAUGCACUAGGUAUGACACCUAGAUUGUAUAUGAACUCCUUCAUCCAGACUCCUUCAUUUGCUGCUUCCGAAGCAGCUAUGUACUCCGCUUCACACGUAGAUCCCGCCACGACGCUUUGCUUAGAACUGCACCAACUGACAGCUCCACCAUUCAAUAAACAUACGUAUCCGGUUUGUGACUUAGAGUCAUCUGGAUCAGUGUCAAAGCUUGCAUCGACGUAACCGUUUACGACAAGCUCUUUGUCAUCUCCAUAAACGAGAAACAUAUCCUUAGUCCUUUUCAAGUAUUUCAGGAUGUUCUUGAACGAUGUUCGGUGAUCCACUCCUGGAUUACUUUGGUACCUCCCUGCUAAACUAAUAGCAAGGCACACAUCAAGUCUGGUACACAGCAUUGCAUACAUGAUAGAACCUAUGGCUGAAGCAUAGGGAAUGACUUUCAUUUUCUCUAUAUCUUCUGCAGUGGUCGGGCAUUGAGUCUGACUCAACUUCACACCUUGUAACACAGGCAAGAACCCUUUCUUUGCUUGAUCCAUUUUGAACUUCUUCAAAACUUUAUCAAGGUAUGUGCUUUGUGAAACUCCAAUUAAGUGUCUUGAUCUAUCUCUAUAGAUCUUGAUGCCCAAUAUAUAAGUAGCUUCACCGAGGUCUUUCAUUAAAAAAUUCUUAUUCAAGUAUCCUUUUAUGCUAUUCAGAAAUUCAGUAUCAUUUCUGAUCAACAAUAUGUCAUCUACAUAUAAUAUCAUAAAUGCUACAAAGCUCCCACUCACUUUCUUGUAAAUACAUGCUUCUCCAAAAGUCUGUAUAAAAUCAUAUGCUUUGAUCACACUAUCAAAGCGUAUAUUCCAACUCUGAGAGGCUUGCACCAGUCCAUAAAUGGAUCGCUGGAGCAUGCACACUUUGUUAGCACCUUUUGGAUCGACAAAACCUUCUGGUUGCAUCAUAUACAACUCUUCUUUAAGAUAUCCAUUAAGGAAUGCAGUUUUGACAUCCAUUUGCCAAAUUUCAUAAUCAUAAAAUGCGGCAAUUGCUAACAUGAUUCGGACGGACUUAAGCAUCGCUAUGGGUGAGAAGGUCUUAUCGUAGUCAACUCCUUGAACUUGUCGAAAACCUUUUGCAACAAGUCGAGCUUUGUAGACAGUAAGAUUACCGUCAGCGUCUGUCUUCUUCUUGAAGAUCCAUUUAUUCUCUAUGGCAUGUCGAUCAUCAGGCAAGUCAACCAAAGUCCACACUUUGUUCUCAUACAUGGAUCCCAUCUCAGAUUUCUUGGCCUCAAGCCAUUUUGUGGAAUCUGGGCUCAUCAUCGCUUCCUCAUAGUUUGUAGGUUUGUCAUGGUCAAGUAACAUGACCUCCAGAACAGGAUUACCGUACCACUCUGGUGCCGAUCUUACUCUGGUUAACCUACGAGGUUCAGUAGUAACUUGAUCAGAAGUUUCAUGAUCAUCAUCAUUAGCUUCCUCACUUACUAGUGUAGGAAUCACUGGAACUGAUUUCUGUGAUGAACUACUUUCCAAUAAGGGAGUAGGUACAAUUACCUCGUCAAGUUCUACUUUCCUCCCACUCACUUCUUUCGAGAGAAACUCCUUCUCUAUAAAGGAUCCAUUCUUAGCAAUGAAUAUCUUGCCUUCGGAUCUGUGAUAGAAGGUGUACCCAGCAGUCUCCUUUGAGUAUCCUAUGAAGACACAAUUCUCUGAUUUGGGUUCGAGCUUAUCGUGUUGAAGCUUUUUCACAUAAGCAUCGCAGCCCCAAACUUUAAGAAAUGACAACUUGGGUUUCUUGCCAAACCACAGUUCAUAAGGUGUCGUCUCAACGGAUUUUGUUGGUGCCCUAUUUAACGUGAAUGCAGCCGUCUCUAAAGCAUAACCCCAAAACAAUAGUGGUAAAUCAGUAAGAGACAUCAUAGAUCACACCAUAUCUAAUAAAGUGCAGUUACGACGUUCGGACACACCAUUACGCUAUGGUGUUCCAGGUGGCGUGAGUUGCGAAUCUAUUCUGCAUUGUUUCAAAUGAAGACCAAACUCGUAACUCAAAUAUUCUCCUCCACGAUCAGAUCGUAGAAACUUUAUUUUCUUGUUACGAUGAUUUUCCACUUCACUCUGAAAUUCUUUGAAAUUUUCAAAUGUUUUAGACUUAUGUUUCAUCAAGUAGAUAUACCCAUAUCUGCUCGAAACAUCUAUGAAGGUAAGAAAAUAACGAUACCCGCCACGAGCAUCAACACUCAUCGGACCGCAUACAUCAGUAUGUAUUACUUCCAAUAAGUAUGUUGCUCAUUCCAUUGUUCCGAAGAACGGAGUCUUAGUCAUCUUGCCCAUGAGGCAUGGUUCGCAAGCAUCAAGUGAUUCCAAAAGUCCAUCAGCAUGGAGUUUCUUCAUGCGUUUUACACCAAUAUGACCUAAAUGGCAGUGCCACAAAUAAGUUGUGAAAGUGCGUUAUAUCGACUAGAGGAGGGGUGAAUAGGCGAUUUUUAUGGAAGUCUUCAAAACAUGGAAGUUAUGAAGACAAACGAUAGAAAUAAACCUAUUACCCUGCAGCGGAAGGUAGACUACACUAGGCAAGCCAUAGUCAAGUAUUCAAUAGAGUGAAAGCACAAUGACUAAUAGCAGCAAUGUAGUAAGGAUCAAGUAGGAAGAUAUUGUGAAGCCACACAGAAUACGCAGUCACUCAGUGAAGACAAAAGAUAGUUCGAACAUACAAUGACUUCACAAGGAGUAAUAGUAAGUAAAGGGAAGGGAAGAUGAAACCAGUGAAUCGCUGAAGACAAUGAUUUGUUGGACCAGUUCCAGUUACUGUGACAACUGUACGUCUGGUUAGGGUGGCUAGGUAUUUAAACCUUAGGACACACAGUCCCGGACACCCAGUCCUGAACAUGCAGCUCAGGACACCCAGUCCUCACCGUAUUCCCCUUGAGCUAAGGUCACACAGACCUCGCCCAAUCACUCUGGUAAGUCUUCAAGGUAGACUCCCAAACCUUCACAGACUUCGUUCACCGGCAAUCCACAAUGUCUCUUGGAUGCUCAGAACGCGACGCCCCGGCUGGAGGAUGCACAGUCCUCAAGUGUAAUAAGUCUUCAGAUCACACAGACAAGAAGACUUAAGUGAUGCCUAAUUCUCUUUGGCUCUAGGUGGUUAGGGCUUUAUCCUCGCAAGGAAUUCUCUCUCAACGGCUUCGAGGUGGGUUGCUCUCAAACGACAAAAGACGUACUCUAAAUCUGAGCAGCCAAUCAUUUAUGGUUGUAGGGGGUGGGCUAUUUAUAGCCACUUGGCAACCCGACCUGAUUUGUCCGAAAUGACCCUGGGUCACUAAGGAACUGACACGUGUUCCAACGGUCAGAUUUCAAACUCACAUGGCAACUUUACAUGGGCUACAAGCAAAGCUGACUUGCCCGACUCUGGACAAGAUUCGCUCUCAAAGUCUUCACUCGAAGACAUAGGUUUUGUUUAAGCAUCACUUCAGUCAUUCUGACUGGUUCUCUUGGACCCCACUUAACAGUACGGUGGUUCCUAUGACUCAACACAAAAGAAAGAGAACUACGAAAGAUCUAAGUCUUCGAGCUCCAUAGGCUUCAUGUGGUGUCUUCUCUUGUCAUAGUCUUCAAUGUGAAUAUCUUCAUAUACCACCUUCGACUUCAAUGUCUUCAUACAUUUUUAGGGGUCAUCUCUGGUAGGAAAACUGAAUCAAUGAGGGACUUCUACCUGUGUUAUCCUACAAUUCUCACAAACACAUUAGUCCCUCAACUAGGUUUGUCGUCAAUACUCCAAAACCAACUAGGGGUGGCACUAGAUGCACUUACAAUCUCCCCCUUAUUGGUGAUUGAUGACAAACUAGUUGAAGUUUUCAACGGGGAAUAUAAUCUGUGAAAUUGUAAAGGAUAAGGAAUUGUCUUCAUAAGUUGCAAGGGCUCCCCCUGAAGAUGUGCAUAUAAGUAAUUUGCUUUUGGAAUGCAAAUGCACAUGGCAGGUUGUACUUGUGGAGAUCCACUUCAACUUAUGAUGACAAUCCACUAUGCAUGUGAAAGUAUAUGAAGAUAAUGACAUGCAUAAUGGAAAAUGGACGUCUGCAGAAUGAUCUAAGUGCGGAAUUUAUCAUCGCACAUGCGGAAUUUAUCAUCGCAACACAAGGUGGCAUAUAAGUAGUAGACGACCAUCGAGUUUAAGUGUUACAACUCAAAGAACCAAAUGUAGCAAAACGAGAGUUGUAAGCACGAAGCAAAAUAUAAAGUACCCGCCCAUAUGGACCCGCUUGAAGACUAUCAACCUCAUAUGCUUCUCCCCCUUUUGUCAGUAAGGACCAAAAAGGUUUGAAGACAUAGAGCAUCUACUCGUUCCCAUGAGGAGUAGGUGAAGCAGCAGGUUCGUUGGUGGUGUUUGGCGGUGCUGAAGAGCUUGGAGCAGAGUCGAAGCAUGCUGAAGGAGGUGGCGGUGAAGUAGCAUCGUCUUCAUCCUCGAUCACUCUGGCAUUCACAGUUGCAGCAGAGGAAGAGAACUCAGAGUCUUCAAGGGAUGGAGUUCGUCGUAGCACUGCCCUUCGAGGAGGUGUGGAGUCAAACUUGAAGCGCUUAGUGAAGCCAUCCUCUUGAAGAUCAUCUUCAGAACACAUCAGCGUUAGCCCUUUCCAUGUGCGGCGAGAGGUUUCAUGGGCAACAAAAGCAUUCUUGGUGGCAAGAUUGCGAAUGCGAUUAACAUCCACCAAGAGGCUUUGCAUCUGACGCUUCAACCAGUCAUGAUGCCUAUCCUAUUUCUGAUGAAGAGCCACAAGAAGCUCUUGGUUGUUGAGAACACGAGUGCGCUUCUUGGGUCAUGGAGCAGUUGUACUGUCAGUGGCUUCAGUGAGAGCAGGAUGCGGUGCACGUGUAGUGCCAGCCAAAGGAUACACAGGAGCGACUGCUUCAACUCCUUCAAUGUUCUGAGAAAAACUCUGAUGCUCUACAUUCUGAAGACUUAGAGGUUCCUUGGCAGGCUCAGGAUAGAUGGCUUCAAUAGACAUAUCCACAUCAUGCAAAAAGAUCCGAUGGUUGCGGGCCGAGGGCUGAUAUGAGAUAGCGGAGUGAAGUUUGAUCAGCCGCAUCACCCAAGGGGCGUAGAACUUCAAACCAAACAGAUCAGAGCCAGAUGCAGCAAGUUGGCGAAUGAAGAAAUCCUGUGUAUUGAAGCAUUUUCCAUGAAGAAUGUAGAAGACCAAAGUCUUCAUUGCACCUUCCAGCUUGGCAUGGGGAGAAUGUCCUUUGAUUGGCCAGAGAGUUCGCCUUAUGAUGUGAUAAAUGGUUCUUGGCAGAUACUCAAGGUCUUCAACGAAGAACUCCGUGGGAUAAGCAGCAUCUUGGGGCAAUGGCUUCAUCAUACUGAGCAUCUGACUCAUAUUAGGUUCAGUCUUCUGAAAGAUGCUCUCAAUAGCUUCACUAUGAAGCUGACAGCCAUGCUCGUAGAGAUCGCCAGGAGUGGGCAAACCAGUGAUCUCAAUGAUGUCAAAGGCUUUGGCUUCGUGAUGAACGUUUCCUGUCAUCCACUCCAGGACCCAAGUCUUCGGAUCUCUGUUAUACCCGCGGAUGUGAAGUGUGGUAUAGAAUUGGAGCAGCAACUCUUCAUUCCAAUGCUCUUGGUCAGUGACGGACGGCAGCAAUCCAACUUCUUUGAAGCAAUCUAGAGCUUCUUCCAGACAGGGCAGGCUAGCUAUAGCUUCAAUGUCAAGACGCUUGUGGGGGAGAUGCGACCUUAAUUGUAUAGAAUGCAGGAGUAAUAGCUUCGCUGCGGAUAGCUCCAGAACCGAUCAGAUGAUAUCCUUUCCCUUGAGUAGGGGUUCCUGGAGCUAUUGAAGAAUGUGUUGUCUGCUCUGAAGCCAUUGAUAUUGAAGGAGCCAGGUGCUGAUGCAGGACCUGGGAACCUUGGCAAUCUUGGGAUUGGCUUCUGUACCUGAGGCCUGUGUUCAACAUGAUAGUCGAACUAGGGACCGGCAGCAGACUCAGGAACAGAAGUGGCGGGAUCAGUGGCUUCGCUGACUUCUGGUGCUUUUGUUGGUGAUGGCUCCACAUUAGCUUCAGCCAUGACAGCGUCAGUGCUUCAGUGGUGUUGGUGGUGGCAGCCUCAAGAUUUUCAAUCACGUUCUCCUCGAGAACUGCUUCUUGGUGGGGACGGGGGAGUGGCAGCUUGUGGGACUUCUUCUUCAUCGGCUGAUGUAGCCGGAAUGUCUUCAGCAAAUUCAGCUUCAGACGCAGAGACUGGAGGCCUUGGUCCUUUGCGAAGCCUGCGCAACGCAGGCGAUGCCUGUGUAGUUGGAGUUGGCUAGGCCUCAAAGUCUUCUUCCUCUUGUGGGCGAUCAGCCCAUGAAGCAUCCUGAGCGAUUGGCGUCAGAGGACGACCAAUGUUGAGGAGUUCGCUGUGCUUGAGCUGAGGAAGGACUGCACCAUCUUCUACACGGUCAUGGUGACCAAUGUCUUCAGCAGCGAUGGGAUCAGCUGCUGGAAAGUCUUCAGCUUCAUGAGCCUCUGUGAAAGCAGGCUCAUGGACAGUCAGUUGACGUUCUUGUGGAUCGGCGUCGGGGUGAACCAUGGAAAUGGGUUCAACAAUUAAGGGCUCUGUGUGAGCAGUCCGUUCCUUCUUGGUCUUUCUUUUCUUCUUGGCAGGGGCAGUAGCAGAGGCUUCAGGAUGUUUUCUCUUCCUUGCUUCAGCCUCAGCAGUCCUGGUCUUCUUCAGUUCUGAAGCAGUUGACCUGGCCUUUGGCUUCGAGCCAGUCAUUCUAGUUGGGAAGACAAUGGGAUCUGCUUCCUGCCUUGGUGCGUCAGGUUCAGUCGUAGCGGGCUUCUUCAUCUUCUUUGCAGCCAUCCUGGGGUCGAUGCCAGGACGCCCAAGGGCCUUGCGCUUCUCAGCCUCAUUGUAGGCUUGCACACAUAUGUCAGCCAGAACCUUCAUGCGCUCACGCGAACCCUGAGCUUCUGCAUGUUUCUUGAGAAAGGCUUCCUUGAGCUCGUGUAGCAUAAUCUUGAAGUUCUUCACCUCUUGCACGCUGAGCUUGGCCAUAUGCUUCUUGAACUGAGAUUUCUCACAGUCAAUCUUCUGCUUCAGUUCAACAAUGCGCUGGGCGAUAGCUAGCUCUGAAGCAAUGGCGCCAUGGAAGGCGACACUGAGGCCAAUGGGUAGCUGCAGAUCUUCGAAGCUGAUGUUUGGCGUGUCAAACCACUCAUCAAUGAAGUUGUGGAUGAUUGUCACAUCAAAGAGAGGCAGAUCAUUGAAGAUUUCUGCUUCUUCUUUGCUCUUGAUGAGUUGCUCAAGAGCGUCAUCUGCAAGAUCUUCAUCACUUGACAAAUCAAUGGCAUCAUUGCGCAGAAUGGCAGCAGCUGUUAGCUCUUGGCCGGUGUGUGGCAGAGGCAUCUUGACCUUCUGGGGCUUGGAGAUGCGUGAUAAAUCUUCGGACUGCACACUGUCUUCAGGAGGUGCAGUUGCCAGUGGCUUCGCCCGUGAGAUUUUUGGUGAAGGGGUAGGCUUUGAAGCUUUAGGCUUCUUCAACUUCUUUGGCUUCGGCGCUGCAGGCGCUUCAUCUGAUUCAGCGUCAGCUGUAGGCUCAUUCACUGCAGUCCCUUGAACCAAGAUAUGGGUGAUGAGGCCUUCAAGAUAUGGGUGACGAUGGGUCUGCAUCAACAGGCUGUGGCCCACGGACCAUGCAGGGAUAGAAGCCUUGUUCAAUGGCUUCAUCUCUGGACCUGGGUUGAAGAUUCUUGUAUAGGAUGUCUCCCCACGGUCUCUUGAUGGCAUUUUUCUCAGCAUAUUCCUGGGUUACAAAUCGGUAUUUGAACCAUUGUUCUGCCCAAUAUCUUCGAAUCCAUUGGAUUCGGGUCUUGCGCUGAUUGUAAUCCUCUUCAGGAUCUGUCUUGUACAGUUCUGAGAGGUCAUCUGGCAGAUCUCUUGAUGUUUCUCCACGACGCUUUCUGCCACCCUUCCUUGUUGAUUUCUCUGAAGCCAUGAACUUUAAACUGAAAGGCUUCAACACGUUCAAAGGCUUCAAAGGUUUUCACUUGCUGGACAAACAGGAACUAGCUUCGGGAGAAUUUAUGUGAUGCUGUAAGAAUUCUGCAAAUGAAUGCAGACUAUGGGAACCAAAGGAUUCUCCCACGGACAUGUACCUGUGACAACAUUAAGGUGCGAGGGAAGGGGAAGAGGUCAUAUGCAUUCUCAAAAGAUUUUGAAGAUAAAUCGGUUUAGAAGACAUUGACCUCAUCGUGCGAAGACAUUCACUCAUAGAUAAGGAGUUGGUUCCAGAUUUGUACGAAUCCAGAGAUCAAUACAAGUGAGGAAUCUAACUACUUUGUGAAGUACAAGUGAAUAUACUAGGCAUGUUAUGAGAUGCAGUAUGAGAGAGAUCUAACUUGUGUGAAUAGAAACUGCUUGUGGUAGAAAGUGACAAAGCCAUAGGAUCAACAGUGCCGUAAAAAGGAAGUUUUAUUUACCACACUAAGAACUGCUAGAUGGAGUGGAAGAUGAGGCCGAGCAGUUCGAUCUUCCGUGCCCUAACUUGGCGAUGGAGAACACCUACGGCGACAGCGGAGAGGACGAUGUCUGCGGUCGGCGUGAAGACGGCGUUGGAGAGGUUGCGGCAGCGAAGCGCUUCGUCGUCGGUGUCGUCGAGGGCUAGCGGUGGCGCUAGGGUUCGUGCGAGAGUGGAAGAAGAGAUAAUGACUGCCGUGAAGUGUGUAUUUAUAGGUACAGGGGCGGCACUGCGUUAUUACACAGAUGCCCCUAGCGAUUCGCAUCUGAGGAACACGUGGCCAUUAUGCGGAAUUUUGGGGUUUGUUCCAUGUCCCACACACGCCUGGAUUGUCGGGUGGUCGUUCCCAUUUCUCCGGGUUUCAUGUGGAGGAAUGAGCAUUGAAAACGGACUUAAUGGUUGUCUCUGUAUCUUCUGCUGACAAGGACGCAGAGAAGACAUUCGACAGUUUCAAUAGAAUGCAUAUGACUUGGAGAGAUAGAAUUUGAGAUAGAAAGCAUAGAGAGGUUAGGGUCCGAUCACAUUCACUUAGUUCAAAAGAUUCAACAAGAAGACAUAGCUAUAAGUGAAUGCUGUAGAGGACAGAACACUAGUAUAUAUAUAUAUAUAUAUAAUCAACAUAGUGAAGAUAAUCAUGAAGACAUGUUGAGAUUGAAGCCAAACCAAAUGGGAAGACAUAGCAAGGUAACGACAUGAGUGAAACACUUCAAAAUAGAACAUUUGGUGGUGGCGUUACCCACCGUAUAGGAAGUAUUAGACCCAGACACGACGCACAAUUAUCGUGGCGCUCCAAAGUCAAAUUCCACAUUAAUGUAUUCACACUUAGAAUGUAUGUCUUCAUUGAUUGAAGAUAUACUUUACUUCGUGUGUUGCACAUCUAAGUCAUCAAUAUGCAUAAGGGUUAGGAUGUGUGCCUGAUCACAGGACAUUUGAGGAUUCCAGGAUAUUUAGCUCACACCGUAACUUGCAAAAUCUCUUCUCAUCCAAGGGCUUGGUGAAGAUAUCUGCCAAUUUCUCUUCAGUGUUGACGUGUAUGAUAUCAAUAUCUUCCUUCAAAACAUGAUCUCUGAGAAAGUGAUGACGAAUUUCAAUGUGCUUUGUCUUCGAGUGCUGAACUGGGUUGUUGGCAAUCUUGAUGGUGCUUUCGUUGUCGCAGUAGAGUGGCACUUGCUUCAGAUGAAUGCCAUAGUCUUUGAGCGUUUGCUUCAUCCACAGAAGCUGAGCGCAGCAAGAUCCAGCAGCAAUGUAUUCAGAUUCAGAAGUGGAGAAAGAUACACAGUUCUGCUUCUUUGAAGACCAACAUACAAGUGAUCGUCCCAGAAAGUGACAUGUGCCUGAUGUGGACUUGCGAUCAACUUUGUCACCAGCAUAAUCAGCAUCCGAGAAUCCAACCAGAUCAAACUCUGAGCCCUUUGGAUACCAUAAUCCUAGAGUUGGGGUGUGAGCCAAAUAUCGAAGAAUUCGCUUCACAGCUAAGUGAUGCGACUCCUUUGGUGCCGCUUGAAAUCGAGCACACAUGCAAACACUAAGCAUAAUAUCUGGCCUAGAUGCACAUAGAUAAAGUAAAGAACCAAUCAUGGAGCGGUAUACCUUUUGAUCGAACUAUUUACCAUUGUCGUCAGGACCCAGAUGAUGCUUGGCUGGCAUUGGCGUCGUGAAGCCUUUGUAGUCUUGCAUACCGAACUUCUUCAGGCAAUCUUUGAGAUACUUCUCUUGAGAUAUGAAGAUGCCGUUGCAUUGCUCUCGUAUUUGAAGACCGAGAGAGAACUUCAGCUCUCCCAUCAUAGACAUUUGAUAUUGCUCUUGCAUCAUAUAUCCAAACUCUUCACUGUACUUCUGAUUGGUGCAGCCGAAGAUAAUGUCAUCCACAUAUAUUUGGCACACAAACAGUUCACCAUCAUAUGUCUUCGUGAAGAGAGUGGGGUCGAGAGAACCAGGUAUGAAGCCUUUGCUCUUCAGGAAGUAUUUGAGUGUGUCAUACCAGGCCCGAGGGGCUUGUUUGAGGCCAUACAGUGCCUUGUUGAGCUUGUAUACCAUGUCAGGAUGUUUUGGAUCUUCUGUGCAACAUACACUUCUUCUUUAAUCUUGCCAUUGAGGAAGGCGCUCUUCACAUCCAUUUGAUAAAGAAGUAUGUUGUGAUGAUUUGCAUAGGCCAGUAGUAUGCGUAUGGCUUCAAGUCUAGCCACAGGAGCAAAUGUUUCAUCGAAGUCAAUGCCUUCCACUUGAGUAUAUCCUUGAGCAACGAGACGAGCUUUGUUUCUGACAACUUGACCAUGCUCAUCUUGCUUGUUGCGGUAUAUCCAUUUGGUGCCUAUUACGUUGUGCUUCCGAGGAUCGGGACGCUUGACCAGUUCCCAUACAUUAUUCAGCUCAAACUGUUAAAGCUUGUCUUGCAUAGCUUGAAUCCAUUUAGGUUCCAUGAAGGCUUCUUCAACUUUCUUGGGUUCUGUUAUUGAGACGAAUGCGAAGUGCCCACAGAAAUUUGCCAGCUAAGUCGCCCUUGAACGAGUGAGUGGACCGGGUGCAUUAAUGCUAUCAAUUAUUCUUUCAAUCUGCACUUUAUUGGCAACGCGAGGAUGUACAGGGCGAAGAUUUAGUCUUGCUGAUCAUUGUCGUUGUUAGAAGGAAUGUCUUCAGGCUGAGCAUUGUCUUCAUGUUGAUCAGGUGCUAAUAUGAUAAGUUCUUCUUCAGGAUGAGCUUCACAAGGUAUAAUUUCUCCAGUUCCCAUUAGCUUGAUUGAUUCACUGGAUGGAACUUCAUCUAGCACAUUUGGCAGUUGCUCUCUUUGUGAACCGUUGGUCUCAUUGAACCGCACAUCCACUGUUUCAACCACUUUGUAAUGAAAGAGAUUGAAGACUCUAUAGGAGUGCAAAUCCUUUCCAUAUCCAAGCAUAAAACCCUCAUGUGCUUUUGGUGCAAACUUUGAGGUGUGAUGUGGGUCCUUGAUCCAGCACCUGGCGCCAAAUACUCUGAAGUAACUGACAUUUGGCUUCUUGCCAGUAAGGAGCUCAUAAGAUGUCUUGUUCAGAAGCUUGUGAAGAUAAACACGAUUAAUUGUAUGGCAUACAGUAUCAAUGGCUUCAGGCCAGAAUUUUCUUGGAGUCUUGUAUUCAUCUAGCAUCGUUCUGGCCAUCUCAAUGAGUGUUCUGUUCUUGCGUUCGACGACCCCAUUCUGCUGUGGCGUGUACGGGGUUGAGAAUUCAUGUGUGAUGCCCAAGGUAUCAAGAUAUGUAUCAAGGCCAGUGUUCUUGAAUUCAGUGCCAUUGUCACUUCUGAUAUGCUUUAUCUUGGCGCAAUAGUUGUUCAUUGCUCGAUUGACGAAGCAUCUGAAGACAUCCUGUACUUCAGUCUUGUAAAGGAUUAUGUGCACCCAAGUAUAUCUAGAAUAAUCAUCAACAAUGACAAAGCCAUAGAGACAAGUAUUAGUAGUAAGAGUUGAGUAAUGAGUGGGACCGAAAAGAUCCAUGUGAAGCAGUUCGAAGGGUCGAGUAGUGGUCAUGAUUGUCUUUGAGGGAUGUUUGGCCCUCGUCAUCUUUCCUGCCUCACAGGCACCGCAUAAGUGAUCUUUCUUGAACUUGACGCCCUCGAUGCCUAUGACAUGCUUCUUCUUUGCCAGGUUGUGGAGGUUCCUCAUGCCAGCAUGCCCAAGCCUCCGAUGCCAGAGCCAGCAUUCUGAAGCUUUUGCUAGAAGACAUACGGCAAGCUGUGGUCCUGCUGAGAAAUCUACCACGUACAAAUCAUCUUUUCAAUACCCUUCAAAUACUAGAGACUUGUCAGAUUCCAUUAGAACAAGGCAAUGAUAUUUUCCAAAUAUUACGAUCAUGUUUAAAUCGCAAAGCAUUGAGACAGACAUUAAGUUGAAGCCAAGGGAUUCAACAAGCAUGACUUUAUCCAUGUGUUGAUCCCUUGGGAUUGCAACUCUACCUAGACCCAAUACCUUACUUUUACUAGUGUCAGCAAAUGUGAUGUGGCUCUUGUCGGAUGGACGUAAGGUUGAGUCCAUAAGAAGGCUUCUUUUGCCAGUCAUGUGAUUUGUACACCCACUAUCAAUAAUCCAUUCGGAAGACGCUGGUGUCGUACCCUACAGUGCAGUUAGGGGGAUAGGCUUCACGAAGAGCAUUGUGAAGCAAAAACAUUUGAUGAACCAGUGGGUUAUGAAAGCUUAGAUCCAGAUUAGGACUAAUGGGGAGAGUGGCAAGCGAUUCAGGAACGAAGUACAUAGUAAGACCAUUCGGGCAUUUGAUCUUGCGCCCUACAAGAUGUUUAAGGUCCCUAGCAAUAGCGUCAGACGAUUUUGGUUUUCUGCUGGAGACCUUUCCCUGCAAAAGAGAGUUAAGCUUUCUUAGCCACCCACAUCUUCAAGGGUGGCUUAGAAGCAAUAAGUCUAAGUGCAGCAUCUGAGAACUUUGGCUUUGGAGCCCUAGCAAACAGUCUUGCAGGCGGACAAUAGUACUCAUAAGAAUAAGCAGAAUAGUUCUUGGUCUUAUGAACAUGGCGGUUUGAUGAACCGCUCUCAUAUUCAUAUGCCUGAGUAUGGUUUCCCUGCAAAACAUUUGCGUUAGUGCGACUCAGGUGAGUCCUCUGUCUGUAUGAAGCCUUUGGACCGUAUGAAGCCUUUGGUCUGAGGUUUGUCUUCUUCACGUGAGGUGUCAUGAUGACAUUCAUAGGAAGAUUCUCCAGACACCUUUUCGGAACCCAGAUCUUCUUCAUAGGCGGUCCAUUCCUGCAGUUAGUACCAAUGUACGUGGCAAACACUUCACCAUUCUGAUUCUUAAACAGUUUAUAGUUUGCAUCAAGGGAUUCAUCAAGGAUAAUGGGGUUAGCACAAGUGAAGCCAGAUAGAUUGGAUGGAUCUGCUGAAGGUUCCUUUGCAGCAACCCACGUGGUUUUGGGGUACUGCUCAGGUUUCCAAUAAGAGCCAUCAGCAUUCAUUUUCCUUACGAACCCAACACCCUCUUUCCUCGGGUUUCGGUUCAGAAUCUACUUUUUGAGGACAUCACAUAGUGUCUGAUGCCCUUUAAGACUUUUGUACAUCCCUGUUUCAAGCAAUGUCUUCAACCUAGCAUUCUCAUCAGCAAUAGCAGUGGUAUCCUCAGCAGAGGGGUUAGUUACCACAUCAACAGUUGAAGAUAUUGCAACAGUAGUAGCAGUAGAACAUUCAGCAACAGAAGUAGCAUUAUCACGCUGAAUGCAUUUAAGACAUGGUGGUUCAAAUCCUUCCUGAGCGGAACUGAUCUGUUUGGCGCGAAGUGACUCGUUUUCCUUUUGAAUAUCUUCAUGAGCCGCUCUCAAUUUCUCAAGAUCUUUCUUCCUUUGAAGAUAAUCAUAGGAAAGCUUGUCAUGAGUUGUUGAGAGAGUUUCAUGACGACUUUCAAGUUCCUGAUACUUAACGUGAAGAUUUUUUAUGUCUUUAAUUAAGGAUUCAGAUCGAGUCAUUUCAGCACCUAACAGAUCAUCGCUUCUGUCUAACAGUUUUUGAAUAUGUUCCAUAGCUUUCUGUUGUUCAGUUGCAAUUUUAGCAAUUGUUUUGUAGCUGGGUUUUGAACCACAAUCAGAGUCAUCGUCACUAGAUGUUUGAUAGUGAGUAGUGCGUGUGUUUACCUUGGCACCGCGUGCCAUGAAGCAGUAGGUAGAAGCGGAGUAGUCCUUGUCAUUUGCAUCGAUGUCGGUGAUGAAGUCAUUGUCUUCAGUGUUGAAGAUGGACUUGGCAACGUAUGAUGUAGCCAGACUUGCGACGCCUGAAUCGGACUCCUCCUCAGACUCCACCUCCGCCUCCUCAGAAGCGGACUCCUCCUCUGAAUCCAUUUCCUUGCCAACAAACGCACGUGCCUUGCCAGAUGAGCUCUUCUUGUGUGAUGAAGACUUUGAGGAAGACUUGGAAGAAGACUUUGAGUAUUUCUUCUUCUUCUUGUCGUCAGAGUCAUAUUUCUUGCUCUUCUUCUUCUUUUUGUUCUCAUUGUCCCACUGUGGACACUCAGAGAUGAAGUGGCCAGGUUUCUUGCACUUGUGACAUGUUUUCUUCUUGUAGUCGUGAGCAGAAGCUUCAUCAUUCCUUGAGCUUGAUCGGGAAGACUUUCUGAAACUUUUCUUUUUGGUGAAUUUUUGGAACUUCUUCACAAGCAUAGCAAGUUCCCUUCCAAUGUCUUCAGGAUCAUCCGAACUGCUAUCAGAUUCUUCUUCAGAUGAGGAGACGGCUUUUGCCUUCAAGGCACGAGUUCGCCCAUAGUUUGGGCCAUAGAUAUCUCUUUUCUCAGAAAGCUGAAACUCAUGUGUGUUGAGCCUCUCAAGUAUGUCACACGGCUCGAGUGUCUUGAAAUCAGGACGUUCUUGAAUCAUCAGGGCUAGGGUGUGAAACAAACUAUCAAGUGAUCUCAGUAGUGUCUUGACGACUUCAUGUUUGGUGAUCUCAGUAGCGCCGAGGGCUUGAAGCUCAUUUGUGAUGUCGGUGAGUCGGUCAAAUGUGAGCUGGACAUUCUCAUUGUCAUUUCGCUUGAAGCGGUUGAAGAGGUUGUGAAGGACACUGAUUCUCUAAUCUCUCUGGGUUGAGACGCCUUCAUUGACCUUGGAGAGCCAGUCCCAGACCAGUUUAGAUGUUUCCAAAGCACUCACACGGCCAUACUGUCCUUUGGUCAGAUGACCACAGAUGAUAUUCUUGGCAGUAGAGUCCAGUUGAACGAACUUCUUGACAUCAGCAGCAGUGACACCUUCUCCAGCCUUGGGAACACCGUUCUUGAUGACAUACCAUAGGUCAACGUCAAUGGCUUCAAGAUGCAUGCGCAUCUUAUUCUUCCAGUAGGGAUAUUCAGUUCCAUCAAAGACGGGGCACGCAACGGAGACUUUAAUUAUCCUUGCAGUCGACAUAGCUAAAACUCCAGGUGGUUAAACCGAAUCACACAGAACAAGGGAGCACCUCGCUCUGAUAUCAAUUGAAAGUGCGUUAUAUCGACUAGAGGGGGGGUGAAUAGGCGAUUUUUAUGAAAGUCUUCAAAAUGUGGAAGUUAUGAAGACAAACGAUAGAAAUAAACCUAUUACCCUGCAGCGGAAGGUAGACUACACUAGGCAAGCCAUAGUCAAGUAUUCAAUAGAGUGAAAGCACAAUGACUAAUAGCAGCAAUGUAGUAAGGAUCAAGUAGGAAGAUAUUAUGAAGCCACACAGAACAUGCAGUCACUCAGUGAAGACAAAAGAUAGUUCGAACAUACAAUAACUUCACAAGGAGUAACAGUAAGUAAAGGGAAGGGAAGAUGAAACCAGUGACUCGCUGAAGACAAUGAUUUGUUGGACCAGUUCCAGUUGCUGUGACAACUGUACGUCUGGUUAGGGCGGCUAGGUAUUUAAACCUUAGGACACACAGUCCCGGACACCCAGUCCUGAACACGCAGCUCAGGACACCCAGUCCUCACCGUAUUCCCCUUGAGCUAAGGUCACACAGACCUCGCCCAAUCACUCUGGUAAGUCUUCAAGGUAGACUCCCAAACCUUCACAGACUUCGUUCACCGGCAAUCCACAAUGUCUCUUGAGUAUAUGGCCACGGGGGUCCUCGGCCCAAUCUAUCAGAUCGGGAGAUGACGUGUUGAGUACCCCCUAGUCCAGGACACCGUCAGUAGCCCCCUGAACCGGUCUUCAAGUUAGGGACGCUCCUCAAUUCUUCCGAACUGUUCUUCAUCUUCGGUUGCUGGUCUUGAAAACUGGUUCAACAAAUCUUCUUUAUCUUCGAUCUUGAGGAUCGCCGAAAUGCAUUCGACGAGUUUACAUGUCGGGUAUCCGAGGAGCCCCUUUAAGUUUCCGGCCUUUAUCAAUGCCUUGUUUAUUUUUAUGCCACACCUCGGGUUUGAAGUUGUUCCCGGGAGGCAGGGUCCUCUUAUGUCCGAACUCCAACGCCGGACUGCAUUCGAGGUAUCUUUUGCAGCCAAGCACCAACGUCGGACCGCUUCCCAGCUCUAGCGCCGGACUGUAUAUCUGAGCUCCAACGCCGAAAUAUAUCCGAGCUCCAACGCCGGACUAUGUCCAGGCUCCAAUGCCGGACUAUAUCCGAGGUGUCAUAUCACCUUGGUUCAAAAAAGUUGAAGGAGUUUAGCCGAGCUUAAUGCCGGAAAUGCCCUCUAUGGAGCCAGCCACUAGCGCCCGAGCUUUAUGCCGGACUGCUUCUAAGGUGGUGCACCACCCCGACUAUGGGCCGAUUUUUUGUCAAUAUUUUUUAUUGGUGCAAUUUAUUCUCUGCCGAGAUAUAUAGCCAGUAGCCCUCAAGGUGUGUAUCGGUCUAAAACCCGAGAUGCACAUGAAGGAUGACAUAAGACCGCUGAUCCCAGUAGCCACUGAGACUCAGGUUGAUUUGCAAAAUCGGCCUGAGGAUCAAGUCCUAGCUCGGAAGAAUACUUCGGGACACAAAAGCGGCGUGCUCAGUCCUCAAGACUCAGGUUGGGUGCGGCCGACCAACCUGAGGAUCAAAAUCUCCUCGGAAACUAUAUUGCACAUAAAAUUUUCUGCAUUGGACAAGCAAUGCAGUAGCCCCCGAGACACUGGUCGGGUGGCAACACCAGAUCAGGGGAUCGAUGUGCCCCUUUAAUAUUUGUAAAUAAUAAGCCCGAAGCCCAGUAGCCCCCGAGCCUUAAUGCGGGCACGUGUGGCCGAAUUAAGGAUCAAUAUCCAUAGUAAAAUCACAAAUUAUGUGUAAUGACUCUAUGUAUCCAAGUACUUUACGUCAUUAAUUCUCGGAUCCGCAUUGUACAAAACUUUGUUGACCGACCAUCGGCUUCCACCUCCUUGGCCAGUAGCCGAGGAGUGUUUGUCCUACUUUAUAAAGCCUUUAUGAGGGCAAAGAUUUACGACAAACAAGGCAAUCUGGCCACACGGUUUUAUAAACAAAGGUACGCAGAGAGAUAUGUUAUAUUACUGUUUAACAGAAGAAAUGUAUUCCAAAGAAAAUAGUCCCGCUAUCGGUUCCUUUCUUCGGGUUGUCAUGCUAAGCAUGAUCAUGAAACCUCAGCUCGAAUGUAAGAGCAAAAUAUCGAGGAUUUAGUUUGGGAGGCCAGUUAAUAGCCCCCGGUAGUGUUCGGCGACAAUCGAGGUCAAGCCGUAAACACUUCGGCCAAUGUUAUGAAUGGCCCGUCAUAGUCAUCGGAUCGCUGACCAGUUUACGCUUAUUGUGACAGUCAGUUUUCAGCUUUCUCCACUAAGGUGCUUAACCAUGUGAGCUGGAAGCACAAUCGCAGUGGUUCUCCCUUUGCACGCCUAGCCGAACAAAACGGAACGUAGGAAGCAAGUGCAGGAGCCGGGCAACCCAACUAUUGACCGAAGACACAAUUCAAAACCGAUGCAUAUAUAGCAAUAUCUGAGAAUGUUUUUGCCGAAUCCCUAAAGGUGUCUGGCGUUGCACUGCGAGACUAAUGCUGGAAAAGCACAAAUAGUUUAAAAGUGCCAAAAAGCUUGGAAAACCAAGAAACAUCAGUAAAAACAUGAUGUCCGAACAAGAUCAAGUGUUCGGUGCCAAUCCGAAAAUUGGUCUGAGAAAAAGAAGUGCUUCUGUCGUGCUUUAACAUGAUACAUCCUAUCUCAAGACUUCGAGCGGGUCAGCCUACGGCUUCAACCUCCUAUCUCAAGGGCGGAGUACUUCUCAUCAGGCCAGUUUAGCAAACUAAACUCUAGCGGCUUUGAGAGAGAAAUUAGGCUCCCCGGCUAGUGACCGCACACUUGUGUCGGAAAAGGAGUGAUAAAUAAUAAUAAAACUUUGCAACGACUAAGAAGAAGAACACUUAUUAUAAAACGGCUCAAAUAAACUUAAGAGCCCCCAAGUGACUUGGGUAGAAGAAUGAUUGCAUGUACCGAAGUACUUAUAUCAUAUCUAUGUUCAACCGAACUUUAAACGCGUCUUAACUGACCGUCAGCUUCUCCCUCUUCGGUCAAGGACCGAAAAGUGUUAUGUACUCCAUCGGUCGAGAAUAUCGACGGUGUUUCCAAUAACCAGGCAAUCAGGCCAUAAGGUUGUAACAGACAAAGCGUGCUCAAGGAACUUAUGCUAUAUUACCGUGAAGUGUAAGAAGCAUCUUCGAAGAAAAUAGUACCCCCACCGAUACCUUUCUUCGGUGCUCAUUGUUAUUAUGAGACUUGUGCAAUAGAUUUUUUGUACUCAUGAGUUCCGUUGUGUGCCGACCAUCAUUGAAUAACUAUAAGAGCGCUAGCUUUCGGCUUCACCCAGUCUGAGAUCCGGCUCGGGUGACCCGAUCGUGACAAUCGCAGAGGUGCUCCCUUUACUCCCUAGCCGAACAAUCGGGAACGUAGGGGUAAACACAGGAGCGAGGCAACCCAGCUUGCAAAUCACUUAAGUCAAUAUGGUGCAUAUUGUGGCGUAAUACACGAACAAGGAACGAAGCUGUACAAGUAUAAUCAUAUGCAACAGGAAAAGCUUCAUAAAGGAAGCCCCCAAGUAAACGGGGUAUUUGAAUUUAUGUGUCACAAACAAAGUUUGGACAAGGAAAUUUUUUAGAAGCAACUUUUUUCCAAAAAAGUAUAAUGCUUGGUCGAACCGAACGCAAGUUAGAAAUUAAAGCUUUGAGCAUGAAAGCGACUUAGCUGGUUAAUGUGUUCGGUAUUGAUGACGCGGUCCGAGCUUGAUUCGGGGCAAGGUUCCAUCCCUCAAGACGGUCCCGAGGUGGCGGAGCGGAGAGCUUGACACGCCGAAGUGGUGACAUAGCACAAUCAAUGCAGACCGGCAGAGUGACGCCAAAGUCCCCGGAUCAUUUUCCUGUGCACAAAAAAUAGUGCAAACCGGAGAUAAUAGUAAUAAUGAUAAUUAAAAAAAUCAUUGCAUAAUAAAUAAUUUAUGCAAAAUGAGUAAUAAAAGAAAUAUGGCCUGGCGCCGAAGUCAAGUCGAUGCAGGGCGUCGGCAUGAUGCGGUAAAGGCGUGGCAAAGCCUGAAUUCGCAGGUCGGUCCGAGCUCCGAGUGCGGUGUUCGCCGGACUAUGUACGGAAACUGACCGAACCACCAUGCGACUGUCGUUAAUGCAGCCACCAUUUGAUAGACCUGUGUACAUAUGACGGACAAACCAGAGUAAUAAUUCCUUGGGAAAAAUGAACCCAAACAAGCAAAAAAUACUGGGAUUAAUAGCACCUGGUUUAUUUGUUGUAGCAAUCCGAAGGAAGGUGAUUCCUAAAAUUGGGACCCGCUCCGCACACCCAUUGCCUGAUGAGCGAUAAAACGACGGCAUGGCAAUGCUGGUAAAGGUUGACUCGCCGAGGCAAAGCCCUCGGCCCAGCUAACGUGACGGAGCUGGUCGGCUAGUGACGCCGAAGUGUCCGGAGUAGGUUGAUGAAGAGAUGGCGAAGUCUCCGGUCCAGCCGAGAUGUCGAAGCCUCGAUGUCAGCAGAUGAGUCGAAGUAGGUCGGCGUGAUAGACACCAGCUUGAAGAAGCAAUAGUGCGGCCCUGUCGAUGCAGGUGUGACGUGGUCGAUGCCGGCUUGAUGAAGCGACUGUGCGGCGAUGCCGGUAUGGCCGCUCCGUGUAAUCCGUGGGGCGGCGAUGUUGGUGAUGAUUUAUCCUUCGCGAUGCCGGGCUCUUGUUCGGCUUGCCGAGAUGAUGAUCCGAAGAAGUUGAGCUCGGCUCAACAAAGUGACGCCGUGUCUAGCGCAGGUCGGCAGCCGUGGAGUAAUAUUGCCGGACUGGUUUGACACCAACAUGAUGUUGAAGAUCAUGUUCAAAAAAUCUUACAGUUAGUGGGAUGUGUUCGGGAACAAAACACAAUACCCCAUACAAAACUUCCUUCAAAAGGGAUGUCCGAAAUCCUGUUCAUAAAAAAGAUGAACUCGGGUCGGAUUCGUUUUCGCGCAGAAAACAGAUCCGAAAAGUGAUGCACUAAUCGGAAGGUUCCCGGAGUUUGGAUGGUCGGAUCGAGCCGAAAUUUUGAGAGGUGGUAGAUAUAGGAAUUCCGCAGCCGAUCAACGGUUGGAUCUUCCAAAGGACAUCCGAGCUAGAAGCUGGACACCAUGCCCUAAACUCAUCCAAAUUCCCAUCCAGAUUUGAUAGGGCUCCGGUAUAUCGUGGAUUGCCAGAGAUUCCUCCAUCGGAACUCGACAAAAUUUUCCAGGUUUGUUGUAGACUCAAUUCCGCACAAUUCCACCAAAGCGAUCGUCAAAGCGAUACUUGAGGAGGUGGUGGUGGCAGAUACGAGUUUGCUGUCCAAAAAAACAGCACGGUCGCUUGAGGGCAAUGUUGACGUUGAGCCCCCGAGCUCCAUAGAUGAUUCCUCCAUGAUCUUGAUAGAGAUCGGAGUUGAUGUUUGAUGAAGGCCCUCGUCCAGACAUGGUGAUCCGAACACGGGGCGCAAUUCUUGGUCGAACCAAGGUGACCAGUCGAGCUGGUGACGAAGAUGCCAAAGUCGCAGUUGAUCUGCAGGCGAGCCAUCGAUCCUUUUGUCGAUCACACAGCGGAACUCUCAAUGAAAGCACCACUGUCGGUGUCAAAACCGGCGGAUCUCGGGUAGGGGGUCCCAAACUGUGCGUCUAGGCCGGAUGGUAAAGGCAGGGAACACGAUGUUUUAUCCAGGUUCGGGCCCUCUUGAUGGAGGUAAAACCCUACGUCCUGCUUGAUUAAUAUUGAUGAUAUGGGUAGUACAAGAGUAGAUCUACCACGAGAUCAAGGAGGCUAAACCCUAUAAGCUAGCCUAUGGUAUGAUUGUUGUAUAUAUUGUCUGAUGUAUCUCUAUCGACUAGCCUGGCCUCGGUUUAUAUAAUGCACCGGAGGCCUAGGAUAACAAGAGCCCUAGCCGAAUACGACGGUGGGGAGAAGACCUUGUCUUGAUCGCCAAGUCUUGUGGAAUCUUCCUUGUAUGCGGCAGCUGUUCGAACUGGCCCAUGAGUAUACGGCCACGGGGGUCCUCGGCCCAAUCUAUCAGAUCGGGAGAUGACGUGUUGAGUACCCCCUAGUCCAGGACACCGUCACUGGUGGUCUUGUUGACCAUCAACACUUGAUGCUCCUUCUUGAUUUCUACCUCUGCAGCUUUUAGCAUUGCGAAGAGCUCGAGAAUUGUCUUAUCCAUCCCUUGCAUAUUAUAGUUCAUCACGAAGCUCUUGUAGCUUGGUGGCAGUGAUUGAAGAACUCUGUCAAUGACACUAUCAUCAGGAAGAUUAACUCCCAGCUGAGUCAAGUGGUUGUGGUACCCAGACAUUCUAAGUAUAUUUUCACGGACAGAACUAUUCUCCUCCAUUUUGCAGCUGUAGAACUUAUUGGAGACUUCAUAUCUCUCAAUCCGGGCAUUUUAUUGAAAUAUUAACUUCAACUCCUGGAACAUCUCAUAUGCUCCAUGACGUUCAAAACGUUGUUGAAGUCCCGGUUCUAAGCCGUAAAGCAUGGCACACUAAACUAUCGAGUAGUCAUCAACUUUGCUCUGCCAGACGUUCAUAACAUCUGGUGUUGAUCAUGUAGCGGGUUUGUCACCUAGCGGUGCUUCCAGGACGUAAUUCUUCUGUGCAGCAAUGAGGAUAAUCCUCAAGUUACGGACCCAGUCCGUGUAAUUUCUACCAUCGUCUUUCAACUUAGCUUUCUCUGGGAACGCAUUAAAAUUUAACGGAACAAUAGCAUGGGCCAUCUAUCUACAACAACAUAGACAUGCAAAAUACUAUCAGGUACUAAGUUCAUGAUAAAUUAAAGUUCAAUUAAUCAUAUUACUUAAGAACUUCCACUUAGAUAGACAUCCCUCUAAGCAUCUAAGUGAUCACGUGAUCCAUAUCAACUAAACCAUGUCCGAUCAUCACGCGAGAUGGAGUAGUUUUCAAUGGUGAACAUCACUAUGUUGAUCAUAUCUACUAUAUGAUUCACGCUCGACCUUUCGGUCUCAGUGUUCCGAGGCCAUAUCUGCAUAUGCUAGGCUCGUCAAGUUUAACCCGAGUAUUUCGCGUGUGCAAAACUGGCUUGCACCUGUUGUAUGUGAACAUAGAGCUUAUCACACCCGAUCAUCACGUGGUGUCUCGGCACGACGAACUGUAGCAAUAGUGCAUACUCAGGGAGAACACUUAUACCUUCAAAUUUAGUGAGAGAUCAUCUUAUAAUGCUACCGCCGAACUAAGAAAAAUAAGAUGCAUAAAGGAUAAACAUCACGUGCAAUCAAUAUAAGUGAUAUGAUAUGGCCAUCAUCAUCUUGUGCCUUUGAUCUCCAUCUCCAAAGCACCGUCAUGAUCACCAUCGUCACCGACUUGAUGUUAAGGGACGUAGUAAUUUCAAAAUUUUCCUACGCACACGCAAGAUCAUGGUGAUGCAUAGCAACGAGAGGGGAGAGUCGUCCACGUACCCUCGUAGACCGUUAAGUGGAAGCGUUAUGACAACGCGGUUGAUGUAGUCGUACGUCUUCACGAUCGAUCGAUCCUCAGUAUUGAAUGUACGACAACUCCGCGUUCAACACACGUUCAGCUCGGUGGCGUCCCGCGAACUCACGAUUGAGUAGAGCUCGAGGGAGAGUUUCGUCAGCACGACGGCGUGGUGACGAUGUUGAUGAAGUUACCAUCGCAGGGCUUCACCUAAGCACCGCUACAGUAUGACUGAGGUGAAUUAUGGUGGAGGGGGGCACCGCACACGGCUGGGAGAGAUCAAUGAUCAACUUGUGUUUAGAUGUGCCCUUGCCCCCAUAUAUAAAGGAGCAAGGGGAGAGGUGGUCGGCCAAUGAGGGCGCACCAAGGGGGGAGUCCUACUCCCGGUGGGAGUAGGACUCCUCCUUUCCUAGUAGGAGUAGCAGAGGGGGAAGGAAAGGGAGAGGAGGAGAAGGAAAGAGGGGGCCGGCCCCCCUUGCCCUAAACCAAUUCGGUUUGGGCCUUGGGGGGCGUGCCCCACACUUCUCUUGCUGCCCUCUAUUUCCACUAAGGCCCAUGUAGGCCCAUUAAGCCCCCGGGGGGGUUCCGGUAACCCCCGGUACUCCGGUAUUUAUCUGGUAACCCCCAGAACCCUUUCGGUGUCCAAAUAUAACCUUCCAAUAUAUCAAUCUUUACGAAUUGACCAUUUCAAAACUCCUCGUCAUGUCCGUGAUCACAUCCGGGACUCUGAAAUACCUUCGGUACAUCAAAACAUAUAAACUCAUAAUACCGAUCGUCACAGAACUUUAAGCGUGCGGAACCUACGGGUUCGAGAACUAUGUAGACAUGGUCGAGACACGUCUCCAGUCAAUAACCAAUAGUGGAACCUGGAUGUUCAUAUUGGCUCCUACAUAUUCUACGAAGAUCUUUAUCGGUCCAACCGCAUAACAACAUAUGUUGUCCCCUUUGUCAUCGGUAUGUUACUUGCCCGAGAUUCGAUCGUCGGUAUCUCAAUACCUAGUUCAAUCUCGUUACUGGCAAGUCUCUUUACUCGUUCAGUAAUACAUCAUCCGCAACUAACUCAUUAGUUACAAUGCUUGCAAGGCUUAUAGUGAUGUGCAUUACCGAGAGGGCCCAGAGAUACCUCUUCGACAAUCGGAGUGACAAAUCCUAAUCUCGAUCUAUGCCAACUCAACAAGUACCAUCGGAGACACUUGUAGAGCACCUUUAUAAUCACCCAGUUAUGUUGUGAUGUUUGGUAGCACACAAAGUGUUCCUCUGGUAAUCAGGAGUUGCAUAAUCCCAUAGUCAUAGGAACAUGUAUAAGUCAUGAAGAAAGCAAUAGCAGUAAACUAAAACGAUCAAGUGCUAAGCUAACAGAAUGGGUCAAGUCAAUCACAUCAUUCUCUAAUGAUGUGAUCCAUUAAUCAAAUGACAACUCAUAUCUAUGGUUAGGAAACAUAACCAUCAUUGAUUCAAUGAGCUCGUCAAAUAGAGGCAAACUAGUGACACUCUAUUUGUCUAUGUAUUCACACAUGUACUAAGUUUCCGGUUAAUACAAUUCUAGCAUGAAUAAUAAACAUUUGUCAUGAUAUAAGGAAAUAAAUAAUAACUUUAUUAUUGCCUCUAGGGCAUAUUUCCUUCAGUCUCCCACUUGCACUAGAGUCAAUAAUCUAGUUCACAUCUUUAUGUGAUUAGUUCACAUCUCCAUGUGACUAAUACCCAAAGGGUUUUACUAGAGUCAAUAAUCUAGUUCACAUCGCUAUGUGAUUGACACCCAAAGAGUGGUCAUGUUUUUCUUGUGAGAUAAUUUUAGACUACGGGACUGCAACAUUCAGAUCCGUAUGUAUUUCACAAAUUUCUAUGUCUACAAUGCUCUGCACAUAGCUAUUCUAGCUAAUUGCUCCCACUUUCAAUAUGUAUCCAGAUUGAGAAUUAGAGUCAUCUAGAUCGAUGUAAAAAAUCUUGCAUCGAUGUAACUCUUUAUGACAAACUCUUUUUAUCACCUCCAUAACCCAGAAAUAUUUCCUUAGUCCUCUAAGGAUAAUUUUGACCACUGUCCAGUGAUCUACUCCUAGAUCACUAUUGUACUCCCUUGCCAGAAUCAUUCUAAGGUAUACAAUAGGACUGGUAAAUAGCAUAGCAUACUUUAUAGAACCUAUGACUGAGGCAUAGGGAAUGAAUUUUCAUUCUUUUUCUAUUUUCUGUCGUGGUCGGGUUUUGAGUCUUUACUCAACUUCACACCUUGCAACAUAAGCAAGAACUCCUUCUUUGUCUGUUCCAUUUUGAACUACUUCAAAAUCUUGUCAGGGUAUGUACUCAUUCAAAAAACUUAUCAAGCGUCUUGAUCUAUCUCUAUAGAUCUUGAUGCUCAAUGUGUAAGCAGCUUCAUCGAGGUCUUUCUUUGAAAAACUCUUUUCAAACACUCCUUUACGCUUUCUAGAAAAUUCUACAUUAUUUCCGAUCAACAAUAUGUCAUUCACAUAUACUUAUCAGAAAUGUUGUACUGCUCCCACUCACUUUCUUGUAAAUGCAGGCUUCACCGCAAGUCUGUAUAAAACCAUAUGCUUUGAUCAACUCAUCAAAGUGUAUAUUCCAACUCCGAGAUGCUUGCACCAGUCCAUAGAUGGAUUGCUGGAGCUUGCUCAUUUUGUUAGCACCUUUUAGGAUCGACAAAACCUUCUGGUUGCAUCAUAUACAACUCUUCUUUAAGAAAUCCAUGAAGGAAUACAGUUUUGGCAUCCAUUUGCCAGAUUUCAUAAAAUGCGGCAAUUGCUAACAUGAUUCGGACAGACUUUUAAGCAUCGAUAUGAGUGAGAAAAUCUCAUCGUAGUCAACACCUUGAACUUGUUGAAAACAUUUUGCAACACUUUGAGCUUUGUAUAUAGUAACACUACUAUCAGCGUUUGUCUUCCUCUUGAAGAUCCAUUUAUUCUUAAUGAUUCACCGAUCAUCGGGCAAGUCAAUCAAAGUCCAUACUUUGUUCUCAUACAUGGAUCCCAUCUCAGAUUUCAUGGUCUCAAACCAUUUCGCGGAAUCUGGGCUCAUCAUCGCUUCCUCAUAGUUCGUAGGUUCGUCAAGGUCAAGUAACAUGACAUCCAGAACAGGAUUACCGUACCACUCUGGUGCGGAUCUCACUCUAGUUUACCUACGAGGUUCGGUAGUAACUUGAUCUGAAGUUACAUGAUCAUCAUCAUUAGCUUCCUCACUAAUUGGUGUAGGAGUCACAGGAACAGAUUUCUAUGAUGAACUACUUUCCAAUAAGGGAGCAGGUACAGUUACCUCAUCAAGUUCUACUUUCCUCCCACUCACUUCUUUCGAGAGAAACUCCUUCUCUAGAAAGGAUACAUUCUUAGCAACGAAUGUCUUGCCUUCGGAUCUGUGAUAGAAGGUGUACCCAACUGUCUCCUUUGGGUAUCCUAUGGAGACACAUUUCUUCGAUCUGGGUUUGAGCUUAUCAGGAUGAAAUUUUUUCACAUAAGCAUCGCAACCCCAAACUUUAAGAAAUGACAACUUUGGUUUCUUGCCAAACCACAGUUCAUAUGGUGUCGUCUCAACGGAUUUAGAUGGUGCCCUAUUUAACGUGAAUGCAGCUAUCUCUUAAUGCAUAACCCCAAAACAAUAGUGGUAAAUCGGUAAGUGACAUCAUAGAUUGCACCAUAUCUAAUAUAGUACGAUUACGAUGUUCGGACACACCAUUACGCUGUAGUGUUCUAGGUGGUGUGAGUUGCGAAACUAUUCCGCAUUGUUUCAAAUGAAGACCAAACUCGUAACUCAAAUCUCCACGAUCAGAUCGUAGAAACUUUAUUUUCUUGUUACGAUGAUUUUCCACUUCACUCUGAAAUUAUUUGAACUUUUCAAAUGUUUCAGAUUUAUGUUUCAUCAAGAAGAUAUACCCAUAUCUUACUCAAAUCAUAUGUGAAGGUCAGAAAAUAACGAUACCUGUCGCGAGCCUCAACAUUCAUCGGACUGCAUACAUCAGUAUGUAUUAUUUCCAACAAGUUUGUUGCUUGCUCCAUUGUUCCGGAGAACGGAGUCUUAGUCAUCUUGCCCAUGAGGCAUGGUUCGCAAGCAUCAACCGAUUCAUAAUCAAGUGAUUCCAAAAGCCCAUCAGCAUGGAUUUUCUUCCUGCGCUUUACACCAAUAUGACCUAAACGGCAGUGCCACAAAUAAGUUGCACUAUCAUUAUUAACUUUGCAUCUUUUGGCUUUAGUAUUAUGAAUAUGUGUAUCACUACAAUCGAGAUUCAAUAAACCAUUCACCUUGGGUGCAUGACCAUUGAAGGUUUUAUGCAUGCAGAUAGAACGAUAAUUAUUCUCUGACUUUAAAUGAAUAACCAUAUUGCAAUAAACAUGAUCAAAUCAUAUUCAUGCUUAACGCAAACACCAAAUAACAUUUAUUUAGGUUCAACACUAAUCACGAAAGUAUAGGGAGUGUGCGAUGAUGAUCAUAUCAAUCUUGGAACCACUUCCAACACACAUCGUCACUUCACCCUUAACUAGUCUCCGUUCAUUCUGCAACUCCCAUUUCGAGUUACUAAUCUCAGCAACUGAACUAGUAUCAAAUAAUGGGGGGUUGCUAUAAACACUAGUAAAGUACACAUCAAUAACAUGUAUAUCAAAUAUACCUUUGUUCACUUUGCCAUCCUUCUUAUCCGUCAAAUACUUGGGGCAGUUCUGCUUCCAGUGACCAGUCCCUUUGCAGUAGAAGCACUUAGUCUCAGGCUUAGGUCUAGACUUGGGCUUCUUCACUUGAGCAGCAACUUGCUUGCCAUUCUUCUUGAAGCUCCCCUUCUUCCCUUUCCCCUUUUCUUGAAACUAGUGGUCUUAUCAACCAUCAACACUUGAUGCUUUUCUUGAUUUCUACCUUCGUCGAUUUCUGCAUCACGAAGAGCUUGGGAAUCGUUUCCGUUAUCCCUUGCAUAUUAUAGUUCAUCGGCAAGUUCUAGUCACUUGGUGAUAGUGACUAGAGAACUUUGUCAAUUACUAUCUUAUCUAGAAGAUUAACUCCCACUUGAUUCAAGCAAUUGCAGUACCCAGACAAUUUGAGCACAUGCUCACUGGUUGAGCUAUUCUCCUCCAUCUUUGUAGGCAAAGUAUUGUCAGAGGUCUCCUACCUCUCGACACGGGCAUGAGUAUGAAAUAAUAAUUUCAACUCUUGGAACAUCUUAUAUGCUCCGUGGUGUUCAAAUCAUUUUUGAAGUCCCGUUCUAAGCCGUAAAGCAUGGUGCACUAAACUAUCAAGUAGUCAUCAUACCGAGCUUUGCCAAAAACGUUCAUAACGUCUGCAUCUGCUCCUGCAAUAGGUCCGUCAUCUAGUGGUGCAUUAAGGACAUAAUUCUUCUGUGUAGCAUUGAGGAUAAUCCUCAGAUCAUGGAGCCAGACUGCAUCAUUGCUACUAACAUCUUUCAACUUAUUUUUCUGUAGGAACAUAUCAAAAAUAAACGGGGAGCUACAUCGCGAGCUAUUGAUCUACAACAUAGUUAUGCAAAUACUAUCAGGACUAAGUUCAUGAUAAAUUUAAGUUCAAUUAAUCAUAUUACAUAAGAACUCUUACUAAGAUAGACAUCCCUCUAAUCAUCUAAGUGAUCAUGUGAUCCAAAUCAACUAAACCAUGUCCGAUCAUCACAUGAGAUGGAGUAGUUUUCAAUGGUGAACAUCACUAUGUUGAUCAUAUCUACUAUAUGAUUCACGCUCGACCUUUCGGUCUUAGUGUUCUGAGGCCAUAUCUGCAUAUGCUAGGCUCGUUAAGUUUAACCCGAGUAUUCUGCGUGUGCAAAACUGGCUUACACCCAUUGUAUUUGAACAUAGAGCUUAUCACACCCGAUCAUCAUGUGGUGUCUCGGUAUGACGAACUUUCGCAACGGUGCAUACUCAGGGAGAACACUUAUACCUUGAAAUUUAGUGAGGGGUCAUCUUAUAAUGCUACCGUCAAUCAAAGCAGAAUAAGAUGCAUAAAGAAUAAACAUCACAUGCAAUCGAUAUAGGUGAUAUGAUAUGGCCAUCAUCAUCUUGUGCCUUUGAUCUCCAUAUCCAAAGAACCGUCAUGAUCACCAUCGUCACCGGCGCGACACAUUGAUCUCCAUCGUAGCAUCGUUGUCGUCUCGCCAACUAUUGUUUAUACGACUAUCGCUACCGCUUAGUGAUAAAGUAAAGCAAUUACAGGGCGAUUGCAUUGCAUACAAUAAAGCGACAACCAUAUGGCUCCUGCCAGUUGCCAAUAACUCCGUUACAAAACAUGAUCAUCUCAUACAAAAAUAUAGCAUCAUGUCUUGACCAUAUCACAUCACAACAUGCCCUGCAAAAACAAGUUAAACAUCCUCUACUUUGUUGUUGCAAGUUUUACGUGGCUGCUACGGGCUGAGCAAGAACCGUUCUUACCUACGCAUCAAAACCACAACGAUACUUCGUCAAGUUAGUGUUGUAUUAACCUUCUCAAGGACCAGGCGUAGCCACACUCGGUUCAACUAAAGUUGGAGAAACUGACACCCGCUAGCCACCUAUGUGCAAAGCACGUCGGUAGAACCAGUCUCGCGUAAGCGUAUGCGUAAUGUCGGUCCGGGCCGCUCCAUCCAACAAUACCGCCAAACCAAAGUAUGACAUGCUGGUAAGCAGUAUGACUUGUAUCGCCCACGACUCACUUGUGUUCUACUCGUGCAUAAAACAUCUACGCAUAAACCUGGCUCGGAUGCCACUGUUAGGGAACGUAGUAAUUUCAAAAUUUUCCUACGCACACGCAAGAUCAUGGUGAUGCAUAGCAACGAGGGGAGAGUCGUCCACGUACCCUCGUAGACCGAUAAGCGGAACCGUCACGCGGUUGAUGUAGUCGUACGUCUUCAUGAUCGACCGAUCCUCAGUACCGAACGUAUGGCACCUUCGCGUUCAGCACAUGUUCAUCUCGGUGACGUCCCGCGAACUCACGAUCCAGUAGCGCUCGAGGGAGAGUUUAGUCAGCACGACGGCGUGGUGACGAUGUUGAUGAAGCUACCGUCACAAGGCUUCGCCUAAGCACCGCUACGGUAUGACCGAGGUGGAUUAUGGUGGAGGGGGGCACCGCACACGGCUGGGAGAGAUCAGUGAUCAACUUGUGUUUAGAGGUUCCCCCUGCCCCCGUAUAUAAAGGAGCAAGGGGGGAGAGGCGGCCGGCCAAGCAGGGCGCGCCAAGGGGGGAGUCCUACUCCUUUCCUAGUAGGAGUAGGAGAGGAGGAAGGAAAGGGAGAGGAGGAGGAAAGAGGGGGCCGGCCCCCCUUGCCCUAAACCAAUUCGGUUUGGGCCUUGGGGGGCGCGCCCCACACUUCUCUUGCUGCCCUCUAUUUCCACUAAGGCCCAUGUAGGCCCAAUAAACCCCCGGGGGGUUCUGGUAACCCCCGGAACCCUUCCGGUGUCCGAAUAUAACCUUCCAAUAUAUCAAUCCUUAUGUCUUAAACAUUUCGAUACUCCUCAUCAUGUCUGUGAUCACAUCCGGGACUCCGAAAUACCUUCGGUACAUCAAAACAUAUAAACUCAUAAUACCGAUCGUCACAAAACUUUAAGCAUGCGGACCCUACGGGUUCGAGAACUAUGUAGACAUGGUUGAGACACGUCUCCGGUCAAUAACCAAUAGCGGAACCUGGAUGUUCAUAUUGGCUCCUACAUAUUCUACAAAGAUCUUUUAUCGGUCAAACUGCAUAACAACAUACGUUGUUCCCUUUGUCAUCGGUAUGUUACUUGUCCGAGAUUCGAUCGUCGGUAUCUCAAUACCUAGUUCAAUCUCGUUACCGGCAAGUCUCUUUACUCGUUCCGUAAUACAUCGUCCCGCAACUAACUCAUUAGUUACAAUGCUUACGAGGCUUAUAGUGAUGUGCAUUAUCGAGAGGGCCCAGAGAUACCUCUCCGACAAUCGGAGUGACAAAUCCUAAUCUCGAUCUAUGCCAAUUCAACAAGUACCAUCGGAGACACCUGUAGAGCACCUUUAUAAUAACCUAGUUACGUUGUGACAUUUGGUAGCACACAAAGUGUUCCUCCGGUAAUCAGGAGUUGCAUAAUCUCAUAGUCAUAGGAACAUGUAUAAGUCAUGAAGAAAGCAAUAGCAGUAAACUAAAACGAUCAAGUGCUAAGCUAACGGAAUGGGUCAAGUCAAUCACAUCAUUCUCUAAUGAUGUGAUCCGUUAAUCAAAUGACAACUCAUGUCUAUGGUUAGGAAACAUAACCAUCAUUGAUUUAACGAGCUAGUCAAGUAGAGGCAAACUAGUGACACUCUGUUUGUCUAUGUAUUCACACAUGUACUAAGUUUCCGGUUAAUACAAUUCUAGCAUGAAUAAUAAACAUUUAUGAUGAUAUAAGGAAAUAAAUAAUAACUUUAUUAUUGCCUCUAGGGCAUAUUUUCUUCACUUGACACCUUGAACUCCAUCGAAGCAUCGUUUUCGUCUCGCCAACUAUUGCUUCUACGACUAUUGCUACCGCUUAGUGAUAAAGUAAAGCAAUUACAUGGUGAUUGCAUUUCAUACAAUAAAGCGACAACCAUAUGGCUCCUGCCAGUUGCCGAUAACUGUGUUACAAAACAUGAUUAUCUCAUACAAUAAAAUUUAGCAUCAUGUCUUGACCAUAUCACAUCACAACAUGCCCUGCAAAAACAAGUUAGACGUCUUCUACUUUGUUGUUGCAAGUUUUACGUGGCUGCUACGGGCUGAUCAAGAACCAUUCUUACCUACGCAUCAAAAACCACAACGCGGUAUAGUGAUUGCUUUUUGAUCUUCAGAAAUAACCCUAUUCAUUGAAUCCGAUUCAACUAAAGUUCGAGAAACAGACACCCACUAGUCACCUGUGUGUGAAGCACGUUGAUAGAACCAGUCUUGCGUAAGCGUACGCGUAAUGUCGGUCUGAGCCGCUUCAUCCAACAAUACCGCUGAAUCAAGAAUCAACUAGUGACGGCAAGCAAUAUGUAUAUACCCACGCCCACAACUCCUUUGUGUUCUACUCGUGCAUAUAACAUCUACGCAUAGACCUGGCUCGGAUACCACUGUUGGGGAAUGCAGUAAUUUCAAAAAUUUCCUACGCACACGCAAGAUCCAUCUAGGUGAUGCAUAGCAAUGAGAGGGGAGAGUGUUGUCCACGUACCCUCGUAGACCGUAAGUGGAAGCGUUAUGACAACACGGUUGAUGUAGUCGUACAUCUUCACGAUCUGACCGAUCCUAGCACCGAAGGUACGGCACCUCCACGAUCUGCACACGUUCAGCUUGGUGACGUCCCACGAACUCUAGAUCCAGCUGAGGUCGAGGGAGAGUUUCGUCAGCAUGACUGCGUGAUGACGGUGGUGAUGAAGUUACCGAUGCUGGGCUUCGCCUAAGCUCUACAAUGAUAUGACUGAGGUGAAAAUCUGUGGAGGGGGGCACUGCACACGGCUAAACAAUCAACUUGUGUGUUGCUACCUCUUUUAGCACUGCAUUGGUUUUCCCCGAAGAGGAAGGGAUGAUGCAGCAAAGUAGCGUAAGUAUUUCCCUCAGUUUUUGAGAACCAAGGUAUCAAUCCAGUAGGAGGCUACGCGCGAGUCCCUUGUACCUACACAAAACAAAUAAAUCCUCGCAACCAACGCAAAUAGGGGUUGUCAAUCCCUAUAGGGCCACUUACGAGAGUGAGAUCUGAUAGAUAUGAUAAGAUAAUAUUUUUGGUAUUUUUUAUGAUAAAGAUGCAAAGUAAAAUAAAGGCAAAGUAAAUAACUAAGUAGUAGGAGAUAAAUAUGAUAAAGAUAGACCCGGGGUCCAUAGGUUUCACUAGUGGCUUCUCUCAAGAGCAUAAGUAUUCUACGGUGGGUGAAUAAAUUACUGUUGAGCAAUUGACAGAAUUGAGCAUAGUUAUGAGAAUAUCUAGGUAUGAUCAUGUAUAUAGGCAUCACGUCCGAGACAAGUAGACCGACUCCUGCCUGCAUCUACUACUAUUACUCCACUCAUCGGCUAUCCAGCAUGCAUCUAGAGUAUUAAGUUAAAAACAGAGUAAUGCCUUAAGCAAGAUGACAUGAUGUAGAGGGAUAGACUCAUGCAAUAUGAAGAAAACCCCAUCUUGUUAUCCUCGAUGGCAACAAUACAAUAUGUGCCUUGGUGCCCUUACUGUCACCGGGAAAGGACACCGGAAGAUUGAACGCAAAGCUAAGCACUUCUCCCAUUGCAAGAAAGAUCAAUCUAGUAGGCCAAACCAAACUGAUAAUUCGAAGAGACUUGCAAAGAUAACCAAUCAUACAUAAAAGAAUUCAGAGAAGAUUCAAAUAUUAUUCAUAGAUAGACUUGAUCAUAAACCCACAAUUCAUCGGUCUCAACAAACACACCGCAAAAAGAAGAUUGCAUCAAAUAGAUCUCCACAAGAGAGGGGGAGAACAUUAUAUUAAGAUCCAAAAAGAGAGAAGAAGCCAUCUAGCUACUAACUAUAGACCCGUAGGUCUGAAGUAAACUACUCACACUUCAUUAGAGAGGCUAUGGUGUUGAUGUAGAAGCCCUCCGUGAUCGAUGCCCCCUCCGGCGGAGCUCCGGAACAGGCCCCAAGAUGGGAUCUCAUGGAUACAGAAAGUUACGACGGUGGAAUUAGGGUUUUGGCUCCUGUUCUGAUCGUUUGGGGGUACGUGGAUAUAUAUAGGAGGAAGAAGUACGUCAGUGGAGCAACAGGGAGCCCACGAGGGUGGAGGGNNNNNNNNNNNNNNNNNNNNNNNNNNNNNNNNNNNNNNNNNNNNNNNNNNNNNNNNNNNNNNNNNNNNNNNNNNNNNNNNNNNNNNNNNNNNNNNNNNNNNNNNNNNNNNNNNNNNNNNNNNNNNNNNNNNNNNNNNNNNNNNNNNNNNNNNNNNNNNNNNNNNNNNNNNNNNNNNNNNNNNNNNNNNNNNNNNNNNNNNNNNNNNNNNNNNNNNNNNNNNNNNNNNNNNNNNNNNNNNNNNNNNNNNNNNNNNNNNNNNNNNNNNNNNNNNNNNNNNNNNNNNNNNNNNNNNNNNNNNNNNNNNNNNNNNNNNCUCGUGGCCUCCUGUUAGUUGGCUUGACGUAGGGUCCAAGUCUCCUGAGUUGUAUUCGGUGAGAAAAUCACGUUUCCGAAGGUUUCAUUCCGUUUGGACUCUGUUUGAUAUUACUUUUCUUCAAAACCCUAAAACAGGCAAAAAACAGCAAUUCUGGGCUGGGCCUCCGGUUAAUAGGUUAGUCCCAAAAAUAAUAUAAAAGUGGACAAUAAAGUCAAUAAUGUCCAAAACAGUAGAUAAUAUAGCAUGGAGCAAUCAAAAAUUAUAGAUACGUUGGAGACGUAUCAUGCAUCCCCAAGCUUAAUUCCAGCUCGUCCUCGAGUAGGUAAAUGAUAAAAACAGAAUUUUUUAUGCGGAGUGCUACUUGGCAUAAUUUAAUGUAAUUCUUCUUAAUUGUGGUAUGAAUAUUCAGAUCCGAAAGAUUCAAGACAAAAGUUUAUAUUGACAUAGAAAAUAAUAAUACUUCAAUCAUACUAACAAAGCAAUUAUGUCUUCUCAAAAUAACAUGGCUAAAGAAAGUUAUCCCUACAAAAUCAUAUAGUCUGGCUAUGCUCUAUCUUCACCACACAAAAUAUUUAAAUCAUGCACAACCCCGAUGACAAGCCAAGCAAUUGUUUCAUACUUUUGACAUUCUCAAAACUUUUUCAAUCUUCACGCAAUACAUGAGCGUGAGCCAUGGAUAUAGCACUAUAGGUGGAAUAGACUGGUGGUUGUGGAGAAUACAAAAAGGGGAAGAUAGUCUCACAUCAACUAGGCGUAUCAACGGGCUAUGGAGAUGCCCAUCAAUAGAUAUCAAUGUGAGUGAGUAGGGAUUGCCAUGCAACGGAUGCACUAGUGCUAUAAGUAUAUGAAAGCUCAAAAAGAAACUAAGUGGGUGUGCAUCUAACUUGCUUGCUCAUGAAGACCUAGGGCAUUUUUGAGGAAGCCCAUCAUUGGAAUAUACAAGCCAAGUUCUAUAAUGAAAAAUUCCCACUAGUAUAUGAAAGUGAUAACAUGAGAGACUCUCUACUAUGAAGAUCAUGGUGCUACUCUGAAGCACAAGUGUGGUAAAAGGAUAGUAACAUUGUCCCUUCUCUCUUUUUCUCUCAUUUUUUUUCUUUGGGCCUUUUCCUUUUUUGGCCACUUUUCUUCCUUUUUUUUAUUUUUCGUCCGGAGUCUCAUCCCGACUUGUGGGGGAAUCAUAGUCUCCAUCAUCCUUUCCUCACUGGGACAAUGCUCUAUUAAUGAUGAUCAUCACACUUUUAUUUUUCUUACAACUCAACAAUUACAACUCGAUACUUAGAACAAAAUAUGACUCUAUGUGAAUGCCUCCGGCGGUGUACUGGGAUAUGCAAUGAUGCAUGAGUGACAUGUAUGAAGAAUUAUGAAUGGUGGUUUUGCCACAAAUACGAUGUCAACUACAUGAUCAUGCUAAGCAAUAUGACAAUGAUGGAGUGUGUCAUAAACGGAACGGUGGAAAGUUGCAUGGCAAUAUAUCUCGGAAUGGCUAUGGAAAUGCCAUAAUAGGUAGGUAUGGUGGCUGUUUUGAGGAAGGUAUAUGGUGGGUGUAUGAUACCAGCGAAAAGGUGCGCGGUAUUAGAGAGGCUAGCAAAGGUGGUAGGGUGAGAGUGCGUAUAAUCCAUGAACUCAACAUUAGUCAUAAAGAAGUCAUAUACUUAUUGCAAAAAUCUACAAGUUACCAAAGCAAAGUAUUACGCGCAUGCUCCUAGGGGGAUAGAUUGGUAGGAAAAGACCAUCGCUCGUCCCCGACCGCCACUCAUAAGAAAGACAAUCAAUAAAUAAAUCAUGCUCCGACUUCAUCACAUAACGGUUCACCAUAUGUGCAUGCUACAGGAAUCACAAGCUUCAACACAAGUAUUUCUCAAAUUCACAACUACUCAACUAGCAUGACUUUAAUAUCACCAUCUCCAUAUCUCAAAACAAUUAUCAUGUAUCAAAUUUCUCAUAGUAUUCAACACACUCAUAAGAGAGUUUUAUUAUUAAUCUUGCAUACCAAACAUAUUAGGAUUUUAAGCAAAAUACCAUGCUAUUAAGACUCUCAAAAUAAUCUAAGUGAAGCAUUAGAGCAAAAUUAUAUAACUCAAAAGAUAUAAGCGAAGCACAUAGAGUAUUCUAACAAAUUCCAAAUCAUGUAUGGCUCUCUAAAAAGAUGUGUACAACAAGGAUGAUUGUGGUAAACUAAUGAGAAAAGACUCAAAUCAUACAAGAAGCUCCAAGUAAAACACAUAUCAUGUGGUAAAUAAAAAUAUAGCUCCAAGUAAAGUUACCGAUAGAAGUAGACGAAAGAGGGGAUGCUUUCCGGGGCAUCCCCAAGCUUUGGCUUUUAGGUGUCCUUAGAUUAUCUUGGGGGUGCCAUGGGCAUCCCCAAGCUUAGGCUCUUGCCACUCCUUGUUCCAUAAUCCAUCAAAUCUUUGCCCAAAACUUGAAAACUUCACAACACAAAACUUAAAGUAGAAAAUCUCGUGAGCUCCGUUAGUGAAAGAGAAUAAAAGAUCACUUCAAGGUACUGUAAUGAAAUCAUUCUUUAUUUAUAUGGGUGUUAUACCUACUGUAUUCCAACUUCUCUAUGGUUUAUAAACUAAUUUACUAGCCAUAGAUUCAUCAAGAUAAGCAAACAACACACGCAAAACAGAAUCUGUCAAAAACAGAACAGUCUGUAGUAAUCUGUAGCUAGAGCAAGAUCUGGAACCCCAAAAAUUCUAAAAUAAAUUGCUGGAAGUGAGGAAUUUAUUUAUUAAUUAUCUGCAAAAAGAAUUAACUAAAUAGCACUUUCCAAAUAACAAUGACAGCAGUUCUCGUGAUGCUAAAGUUUCUGUUUUUUACAACAAGUUCAACAAGACUUUCCCCAAGUCUUCCCAACGGUUCUACUUGGCACAAACACUAAUUAAACACAAAGAACACAACCAAAACAGAGGCUAAAUAAUUUAUUUAUUACUAAGCAGGAGCAAAAAGCAGGGAAUAAAAAUAAAAUCGGGUUGCCUCCCAACAAGCGAUAUCGUUUAACGCCCCUAGCUAGGCAUAACAAGCAAGAAUAGAUCUAGGUAUUGCCAUAAUAAUAAGAUAGAUUGUUAAAACUCAUUUCAUAUUCUCUAUGUUCAGCAGCAAGUUUUCUUUGAGGCAAGCAAAAGUAAUCAAAAGGGCUAAAUUUGUUGGGACAAAAGUCUCCAAGAUCAACCUUGGGAGGUAUAGGUUCCUCCUUUGGUCCUUCAUAUUGCACAACCAAUUCAUCAUUAUAAGCAUUCUUUUGACAGAACUUUGUGAGCCUAUAUUCAAGAGAAUAUCCCAAUUCAUUAUCUCGAAUAGCCAAAUCAUCAUUAAGUUCAGAAAUUCUAUCAACUAAAACAUUGGUAGGAACCCUUUUUCUAAGAUUUUCAUUGAAAGCAACAUAGUCUAAAGAUUGAAAACGCAUUAUUUCUUCUUGAUCAAAGAGGAUAGUCUCUAUGGGAGGACGGCAAGCGUCCACCCUAUAAUGCGCAAAGAUUUCUUUGGCCUCUUUUAUUAUGAAUCGAAUCUCAUGAGCCAAAAAGAUAGUAACGGCAUGCUUAACAGAAGAAUGCUCAAUAUUAGAAAAUUCUAGGAAAAUCUUUUGUAUAGAAGGAUGCAUGUGCAUGAAUUGUCUCUCAAGUUCAAUUACAAGCAUGGCAAUAGCGUUCGCAAGACUACUAGUUCUAUGAAGAAUAGAACUACCCAUAGAAGGUAAAGCACCGACACAAGUAAAGAAAUCUUGAAUAAAUCCUUUUCCAAUAAUAUUACCACUACCAACACAGAAUCUUUUUAUAUGUGAGAUAGUGGGUUCUUUAGUAGGAGCAUCAAAAUUAUUAUCGACAAUAGCAUCCCCAAUUUCAGACAUAGAGGCAGAGGGUAAAGAACUAGCCAUAACGACAAGCAAGCAAACUAACACACAAGAAAACAAAAAGCAAGCGAACAAAAAGGGGCAAAUAGAGAAAGAGAGGGAGGAUACAGAGAGAGGGCGAAUAAAACGGCAAGGGUGAAGUGGGGGAGAGGAAAACGAGAGGCAAAUGGCAAAUAAUGUAAUGCGGGAGAUAAGAGUAUGUGAUGGGUACUUGGUAUGUUGACUUUUGCGUAGACCUCCCCGGCAACGGCGCCAGAAAUCCUUCUUGCUACCUCUUUUAGCACUGCGUUGGUUUUCCCCGAAGAGGAAGGGAUGAUGCAGCAAGGUAGCGUAAGUAUUUCCCUCAAUUUUGAGAACCAAGGUAUCAAUCCAGUAGGAGGCUACGCGCGAGUCCCUCGUACCUGCACAAAACAAAUAAAUCUUCACAACCAACGCAAAUAUGGGUUGUCAAUCCCUAUAGGGCCACUUACGAGAGUGAGAUCUGAUAGAUAUGAUAAGAUAAUAUUUUUGGUAUUUUUAUGAUAAAGAUGCAAAGUAAAAUAAAGGCAAAGUAAAUAGAAAAGUAAAUAACUAAGUAGUAGGAGAUUAAUAUGAUAAAGAUAGACCCGGGGGCCAUAGGUUUCACUAGUGGCUUCUCUCGAGAGCAUAAGUAUUCUACGGUGGGUGAACAAAUUACUGUUGAGCAAUUGACAGAAUUGAGCAUAGUUAUGAGAAUAUCUAGGUAUGAUCAUGUAUAUAGGCAUCACGUCCGAGACAAGUAGACCGACUCUUGCCUGCAUCUACUACUAUUACUCCACUCAUCGACCGCUAUCCAGCAUGCAUCUAGAGUAUUAAGUUAAAAACAGAGUAAUGCCUUAAGCAAGAUGACAUGAUGUAGAGGGAUAGACUCAUGCAAUAUGAAGAAAACCCCAUCUUGUUAUCCUCGAUGGAAACAAUACAAUACGUGCCUUGCUGCCCUUACUGUCACCAGGAAAGGACACCGCAAGAUUGAACCCAAAGCUAAGCACUUCUUCCAUUGCAAGAAAGAUCAAUCUAGUAGGCCAAACCAAACUGAUAAUUCGAAGAGACUUGCAAAGAUAACCAAUCAUAUAUAAAAGAAAUCAGAGAAGAUUCAAAUAUUAUUCAUAGAUAGACUUGAUCAUAAACCCACAAUUGAUCGGUCUCAACAAACACACCGCAAAAAUAAGAUUACAUCGAAUAGAUCUCCACAAGAGAGGGGGAGAACAUUGUAUUAAGAUCCAAAAAGAGAGAAGAAGCCAUCUAGCUACUAACUAUGGACCUGUAGGUCUGAAGUAAACUACUCACACUUCAUCGGAGAGGCUAUGGUGUUGAUGUAGAAGCCCUCCAUGAUCGAUGCCCCCUCGGGCGGAGCUCCGGAACAGGCCCCAAGAUGGGAUCUCAUGGAUACAAAAAGUUAUGAUGGUGGAAUUAGGGUUUUGGCUCCUGUUCUGAUUGUUUGGGGGUACGUGGAUAUAUAUAGGAGAAAGAAGUACGUCGGUGGAGCAAUAGGGGGCCCACGAGGGUGAAGGGCGCGCCUGGGGGGGCAGGCACGCCCCCCUACCUCAUGGCCUCCUGUUAGUUGGCUUGACGUAGGGUCCAAGUCUCCUGAGUUGUAUUCGGUGAGAAAAUCACGUUCCUGAAGGUUUCAUUCCAUUUGGACUCCGUUUGAUAUUCCUUUUCUUCGAAACCCUAAAAUAGGCAAAAAAACAGCAAUUCUGGGCUGGGCCUCCGGUUAAUAGGUUAGUCCCAAAAAUAAUAUAAAAGUGGGUAAUAAAGCCCAAUAAUGUCCAAAACAGUAGAUAAUAUAGCAUGGAGCAAUCAAAAAUUAUAGAUACGUUGGAGACGUAUCAUGUGUCUACGGGUGCCCCCCUCCCCCCGUAUAUAAAGGAGUGGAGGAGGAGGCCAGCCGGCCCUAGAGGGCGCGCCAAGGGGGGAGGAAUCCUCCUCCUAGUAGGAGUAGGAUUCCUCCUUUCCUAGUCCUACUAGGAGGGGGAAGGAAGGAGAGGGGGAGGGAGAAGGAAAGAGGGGCCGCUCCCCCCUCCCCUAGUCCAAUUCGGACUCCCUUGGGGGGGCGCCACCUCCUGGCUGCUGCCCUCUCUCUCCCCUAAAGCCCACUAAGNNNNNNNNNNNNNNNNNNNNNNNNNNNNNNNNNNNNNNNNNNNNNNNNNNNNNNNNNNNNNNNNNNNNNNNNNNNNNNNNNNNNNNNNNNNNNNNNNNNNNNNNNNNNNNNNNNNNNNNNNNNNNNNNNNNNNNNNNNNNNNNNNNNNNNNNNNNNNNNNNNNNNNNNNNNNNNNNNNNNNNNNNNNNNNNNNNNNNNNNNNNNNNNNNNNNNNNNNNNNNNNNNNNNNNNNNNNNNNNNNNNNNNNNNNNNNNNNNNNNNNNNAACACUUCCAGUGUCCGAACAUAGCCGUCCAAUAUAUCAAUCUUUAUGUCUCGACCAUUUCGAGACUCCUCGUCAUGCCUCAUCUGGGAUUUUGAACUACCUUCGGUACAUCAAAACACAUAAACUCAUAAUACCGAUUGUCACCGAACAUUAAGCGUGCGGACCCUACGGGUUCGAGAACUAUGUAGACAUGACCGAGACUCGUCUCCGAUCAAUAACCAAUAGCGGAACCUGGAUGCUCAUAUUGGUUCCUACAUAUUCUAUGAAGAUCUUUAUCGGUCAAACCGCAUAACAACAUGCGUUGUUCCUUUUGUCAUCGGUAUGUUAUUUGCCCGAGAUUCAAUCGUCGGUAUCUCAAUACCUAGUUCAAUAUCAUUACCGACAAGUCUUUUUACUCAUUCCGUAAUGCAACAUCCCGUAACUAACUCAUUAGUCACAUUGCUUGCAAGGCUUAUAGUGAUGUGCAUUACCGAGAGGGCCCAGAGAUACCUCUCUGAUACACGGAGUGACAAAUCCUAAUCUCGAUCUAUGCCAACUCAAUAAACACCAUCGGAGACACCUGUAGAGCAUCUUUAUAGUCACUCGGUUAUGUUGUUACGUUUGAUAGCACACUAAUUGUUCCUCCGGUAUUCGGGAGUUGCAUAAUCUCAUAGUCAUAGGAACAUGUAUAAGUUAUGGAGAAAGCAAUAACAACAAACUAAACGAUCAUCGUGCUAAGCUAACGGAUGGGUCAAGUCAAUCUCUAAUGAUGUGAUCUCGUUCAUCAAAUGACAACUCUUUUUCCAUGGCUAGGAAACUUAACCAUCUUUGAUUGACAAGCUAGUCAAGUAGAGGCAUACUAGUGACACUCAGAUUGUCUAUGUAUUCACACUUGUACUAAGUUUCCGGUUAAUAAAAUUCUAGCAUGAAUAAUAAACAUUUAUCAUGAUAUAAGGAAAUAUAAAUAAAAACUUUAUUAUUGCCUCUAGGGCAUAUUUCCUUCAAAGGGAACGCAACGCUGAGCUCGUGCAACCACGAAGAUGGCCCAAGCUCGAGCGCAUCUCCGAAAAAUCGGCGGGACCAUUUCGGCUCACCUCCUGUUGAUUCGGUCGCCCUAUAUUGCCCCCUUCGCCUCAUCGCUGAAACUCCCGCCACCCUUCUCCCUCCUUUCAAGCUUUCUCGCAGACGCGCAUCGGUAUCGACCAGUAGGCAAGCGGCGCUCCUUCCCUGUGCGACGGUCCACGGUGGCGGCGAAUCAUGACCUCAUCUUCUCUGACUGUUUCGGUGUCUCCCUCAAGCUGCAACAAUGGCCUCUCUGAGUUCAAUCACCCCCUUCUAUGUUGUCGGUGUAUGUAGAUCUAAGACCAUGUGGUAGGGUUUGAUGUUCAAUCUUGUGGUAGGGUUUGAUCCAUGAGCAUCUUGUAGCAUGCUAGGUUUGUAUUUGGGUGCUGGUAUCUGAGAUUGCAAUCUUGUAGCAUGCUAGGGUAGUGUGUUCGGUAGCUAGUUGUGAUGUAUGUUGCUCAUGUCGUGCUAUGUUGAGCUAGAUUGUCCAGUGGCGUGUGUUCUACGAUUAUAGGACAUGACCACACAAACGCAAGAUCUUAGCAAGCCCUUGUCCUGUCCGAGAUCCACUUCCCUCCAAUCCUAUGUCGAGGACUCCCAGACCCCUUUGAUGAGCAGAUGCCUCCUAAUUCAGAUGUGUUCGAGGUUUCAGGCACAGGUCCUCCUUUUGUACCUAUAGCCUUUGUGCUCGCUGAGCCAAGUGUUGGCGCUGCUGACGCUGCACAAACGGCAGCAGUAAAGGGAAAUAAGGAUGGUAGGAGGAACAUCAUGAAGUGGCAGUCGUUCAUGUCCAUAUUCGUUCUUAACAAGAUGUGUGAGCUCAUAUCUAGCGGGUUUAGGACUGAGAAGUGCUUCAAGGAGGUGCACUUGAACAUCAUUGCGAAGCAGGUGUUCGAGUUAUGUGGCCAGGAGGUGACCUCCACCCAGGUCUACAACCACCUUAGGAAGUGGAGAUCUCGAUGGAUCACAGUGUCCAAGCUCAGAGACCUUAGCGGCGCCUCAUGGGAUUAGAACACUUUCUCGAUCAUUCUAGAGGCAGAGCACUACACCGGCCACGUUACGGUUAGCUCACACCCCCCUUGUUUUUUAGACUGUCAACCAUUGCCUUCUCGUAACUAACAACAUUGUGUUGCUUUCUUAGGACCACCCCAAAGACGCUAACUUCCUCAACACAUCCAUCCAGAACUGCAACUAGAUGCGCACAUCUUCUCCUUUGGGCUGGCAACCGGCAAACUUGCCAUGGGCUCCGUUGAGCCUCUCGGUUCGCCCAUGCCUGAGUUCCUAGAGACCCCGGACGCAGAGGCAGGCCUUGAUGGCCCUGACAAGCCCUUUGAGCACGUCCCUGUACUUGAUAGGAAGAGGAAGAUGGGCGGCUUUAUGGAAGAGGAGAGCAGUGUCUUCACCAGCAUGACUGAGGUCGUGAAGGAGGUGGCAACUGCCAUCAGGGAGAGCAAGUCCAUCGACAUCCACCCUGAGUUGUACACCGCCAUCAUGGACCAAGGUGGCUUCAGCCAGGAGGCUCUGACGGCUGCUCUGAGCCACCUGCUUGACAACAAGAACCAGGGUGUGGGGUUUGUUGCCAUGGCAGACGCUCACAAAGAGCUCUGGCUCAGGAGUUGCUUGGCAAGCACGACGCAGUGCUGCCUCUGGUUACCGCGUGCAUGAUCCUCGACGGCGAUGGCGACGACGAUGACGAUGCCGACGCACAUUUUUGGUAGCUAGGGCUUGAAAACUAUUUGACGGUAUGUAUAUUUUGCUGAGGUGGUAUAUACUAACCCCUCACGAUGAUGGUGAACUUGUGGUGGUAGGAUUACACCCUCUUUUGAAUAUGGUGGUAGGAUGACACCAUAGUAGUGCUAGGUUGAACUUGCUAUGUUGUAUGAUCAUGCAUGCUUACUACUGCUCUUCUACUCCAUUGCUUGUUGUUUGUGUGCUCCAUUGUUUGCUGCUUGUGUGCUCCAUCGCUUGCUGCUUCAACUAUCGCUCUUGUGCACUGCUAGGACAAGUGGUACGUGGUGUUCAUCGAGAGGGCUCUAGGGGUUUACAUGUCAUGGGAAGUUUGCAAUGAACAAGUGUCGGGUACAGCAACAGCAGCCACAGAGGGUUUAAUACGAGGCAGACAGCAGAAGAUGCUUACUCCAAGUUUGUGCAAAAGCAGGCAUGCAAGGUUGAAGUUGGCAAGGCGACGCCACACUUUGGGGUGAAGAACUUUUUAUCGUCGUUGCAGUGUUAUGGCCUUGGUGUAGUCGCUGUGAUUCUUUGUAAGGUGCAACGAGUAAGCUCACCACGUAGAAUACAAUAUUAGCACACCUUGAUGCUUGUGUGCAAUCAAAUAUGUAUGUGUGAGUUUAGAUGAUGCAGGACGCCAAAUACCGUAUCCAAACCUACUCUCUAAUGCAGACAGAGGAUAUGCAGGCAACUAAACUAGGUGCGAAUAUUGGUUUUUAAUCUAUUUUUUCUCAGUCAGACCCAGCUGAAAAGUGUAUGCAAUGCACAGAAAAACUGAGAUGACAACCCCAGUCCUCUCCCGUCGCCUCAUUGCAGAUUAACUAUGGGAUUUUCUCCAAGUGGUUAAUCUCCGUGUCGGAUUUUGCAAGUUAUGAUUUUUGGCGGCUGCUUACGGUUUCAAACUGACAUAGACCGGAGGCGCUCAUGUCCACAAUCGCCUGAAACCGACGCUCGUGCCAACGAGUUGUGCGACAAAGAUGGGUUGAAAACUUGAUGCCGCUGCUACUGUGCACAUGGCCAUCUCCUCUUGGCCAUCUCAUUCUCAUGCUUGAGAAACGAAAGCGAUAGCCCAGUUGUGCAUCCUUGGAACCAUACAUACCCCCUAACCUGCCGACAGAAUGCCAACUCAGCUACACCCCAUUGGAGCCACACAGGAAAGAUUAAACAGAUCCUAACAAGCACCAGCUUCGCCUUCUCCUUCAGAUGAAAGCACUCUCUCCUAUGCUAAACCCAUGCUCAUGUGCGAAAAACGGCGAUUUUUCUAGCACACGCCAAAGGCACAUCAGCUUGCGCAUUGGUUGCCACAGCACAUGAAAAAUGACAUGAGCUCCAGGAGGUGAGCUUGGCCGUGAAGGGAAUACAACAUAAACAUGACAGUUUGGAACAUGGAAUGUAUGCCACAUUGGAUGAUGAAGGGAAACAAACAGUUUAGUAUGGUCUACCACACAAAUCAAACUCGGAAGGUGUGUGUGUUGCUCUAUUAUGUACAUACAAUCUUCUCUGUUGCUGGAGAAGCGGCUUCAAGAGACAUCAGGCAAGUUAGGGGUUGCCUCUCGUCGGACGGCAUACAUGGUUCAGCUUCUUGGCAUGGUCCUGUCGAUGGUGCUGGGUACGGCACAUGAAACCGUACCAGCAACUAUCCCUGUCAGCAGCAUCAGCUGGAAGAAGCUGCAAAACAAACAUCCCCAUCACCAUCAAGAGACUGAUAGGAUACAUGAAGAAUAAAUAAGGAAUGCAGGGGGGAGGGGGGUAUGCAGUUGUUAAGGCACUGAUUCAACAAAACAGCUGUAUCAGAAAUCUCUUGCUUCAGAUAAUCUGUCGGAUUCAAACAAGAUUAACUUGGAACUGGUGAUCAUACCAUUUUAUGCAACCCUUUUAAUAACUUAUCUCAAUAUAUCAACCGUGCCUUGAUACUGUUGUCAGCUUGGGAGGAAUUCUAUGCUUAUCAAAAUGAAUUACUACUAGUUUAGGCCCAUACCAAACAAACAGGUAGGGAACAACAGGAAAAUCAGACAGUUAAAAACCAUUUAGUAAUGUAUAUUAUAUAAUGGUCUGAGAUGUAACGGCUUUUAUGCUCUUGGGGAAACCAGCAUAUACUACAUUUCACAAAGCUGUAAGCCUUAAAUUUAUCGUAUUUAAAUGACCAAUCUGCAUUCAGUACCAUGUACCUAGUAUUCUACUGGAUCAUUGUAAAGGCUUUUAUUCUAGUUGGCAAAGCAACUCCGGGAGUAGUAUAUGGUAAGUCUUGUGGACAUCAAUUUUUGUAUCAACUCUGGGAGUAGUACUCCCUCCGUCCGAAAAUACUUGUCAUCAAAAUGGACAAAAAGGGAUGUAUCUAGAACUAAAAUAUGUCUAGAUACAUCUCCUUUUAUUCAUUUCGAUGACAAGUAUUUCCGGACGGAGGGAGUAUAUGGUAAGUCUUUUGUGGACAUCAAUUUUUGUAUGUCAACUAAAUAAGUGUACUUACAGCAUUGACAUCUCACUACAAAUAGUGGAAGGCAUAUCUAACAUAAGUUAACCGAUUAGCAUAAGCUCAUGAAAGUACGAACUGACUGUAAGAGUUAAUAGUAUACAUACAUUUCUGGGGGUUGACACGCGGAACCAAUACAGCAGAAAAUCAACGAACUUGUUGUAGCAAUGGCUGCAUUCAUUUGAAUCAACAAAAUCAGCAAAGGCACCAAGACGAAAUCAAGAAACUAUUCUUGUCAACUCAGGAAGCAAUUACUUGCAAAGGUAUGUCCUGGAAGUAAUUGCCUCAACAUUAUUCAGUUGCAGCCUUGAGCGAUCUGCAUGCAGCAAGAGCAUCAUAUCGAUAAUGAUUCAAAUAUGAUAUAUAUCAGAACGUUUCCCUAUCAAAAAGAUAUAUGUGGGCACACGCAACAGGAGUAUAGUCCUCCGUUCCAAAAUAAUUGAAGUUCUAGGUUUGUUCCUUUUAUGUUUGACCAACUCUAUAGAAAGAUGUGCUAAAAUGUACAACACCAAAUACACAUAGUACAAAAAUAUAUUCCGCAAAGAAUGUCAUGAGAGUAAUUUGGUGUUCUAGAUGUUACUAUAUUUUUCUAGACUUGGUCAAACUUAAACAAGUUUGACUUAGGGCAGCCCAGAAGUUCAAUUGUUUGGAACGGAGGUAGUAUUGCAUAAACCAGGUGCCAAAUAACACUCAAAGUAAGCUUCUUCAAAUCAUGCAAAGUCAUAUAGACCAGUAUUUUAUCAUGUCAAGAUAGAAUUGAAGGUUUUAAGAUAAUUUCUUCACAGCUAUCACAUAUGCACCAAAACAAUAUUCAACUGAAAUAAACAGAACAUUACCAAGUUCCUUAUUGUCAAACUUUGCUAUCCACUCAGAGAUUACAGCUUGCAACGUUUUGCCAGAUUUCUGUAUGCACCUUUCUGUGAUCUAGAGAGGAGAAACCACAGUUCAUUCACACAUGAAAGUACCAUCAAGGCCAUAAAUGAUAAGGGAUAAGAUCAAGAUGGAAUAUUCCUACAUCUUUUUCAUAUGGAUUUCCCCCAUGAAGCGUGUCCGGAAGUCUAGAGAUAUGGUGCUGAGAGAUCUGGAAUAGUAUGCACACAUCAUGUCAAAACAUUGCAAUUGAUGUGUAUGAUGAUGAGAAGGUACAUCAGGGCUUUAAAAUAUAGCAGAGACAGAUUGGCUUACCAUCCUGAAAGUUUCCUGGUUGCAGAUUAGAUUACAAUGACUUGAAUUCACUCCUUGGGAAUACCAAUAAGCUCCACAAAAUGAUCCAUCACACCCCAAACCUGCAAUAUAUGUAUGGUAGGUCAGCGCCAAGAGUGGUGUCAUAAAACUAAAGUAAAGUAGGAAGAAGAGCAGUCAAACUGCUCAUAGUGACUGCAGCUUAAGAAAUUUACUGAGAAGCAAGUAAGAAUAAUGCUUAUGCUAUUCAUGCAGAUUUAUGCAAUAGAAUAGCCUUAAGGAAACUAACUAAUGACGAGUAUCUAAGGAAGGCCAAGAAUAAUAUAAAAACACCAAAUUUGCAGUUCAAUGAUGUAGCACUGCAUCAGUAGUGUUGUAGUGUUAAAUAGCAUAUCAAAUGAACAAAAUAAUAUAAUGCAUGCAAUUAACAAGAAUACAGACGAUCAAAAUCGGCAAUUACAUUUUUGUAUACUGGUGUUAGGCCUAGCUGGCAUCAUUCCUCCACAUCCAUUACACUGUAUGUGUGCUGCUCGGGGACUGCAUCUAAAUCCAGCAAAUUCUGUACCUGCAAUAGUCACAUGUUCAAAACACAAACAAACAUAUGAAACAAGUAGACGCUGGAAGCUGAAUAAAAAUCUCAAUUAACUAUAUCAUUGCUCUGUUCUCUUUUAGAAGCUGUUUAGGAGUAACCCGUUGAAAACUUCAACUGAUAAUAAGAAGUUAAAAACAAAAGUAAGAACUGCUUUUGUCUUAACCAUAUCAAUGCAAAACGAAUGCACCCAGUCUGAGCUCAUGUGAAAAAUGCACACACACACACACACACACACACACACACACACACACACACUGUUAUUGUAUCAAGGGAACAACUUUGAUAGUUAUGAAAAAAAAUCUCCAGAUUCUGAAAAUCUGAAGGCGAGCGUGUACUAAUAUAUGUUGAUCAAGAUGAUAUUCAAAGUGAUAUUCCCAUAUUUACCACAUUGAGGACAUGGAAAUUCAGCAUCGUUGCUUUCAUCACUUGCAGGUGGCAAAGGGCACUUUCUUGAUUGAUUUUUCUGUUUUCCCAAAACCUACGGCGUGAAAUAACAUGCCACCAACUAUUUAGAUUCUUGGGAAUGGAGAAAGACCAUAUAUAUAGAACAAAAAUAUACUGGUAAAGUAGAAAAUAUAUUAAAGGAACCAUCUAUGAACGCAGGCUCAGUAGGUUUAGCAAGGAGCAAUUGUCACAAGGUACUCAAUGGUUGCAAUGAUACAUUUUAACUAAAAGACGAGCAAACUUAUGAAGACAACUACAGAACUUUUCAUCCAAUGGUACACCUGUGAAUUCUUUAAAAAUAUUCAAAUCAUAACAUUCUAGGUAAAUAUUCAUUCUGCAGGUCCCAUAUUCCAUGAAUUCCCUUGCUAAAACGUUAAGAUAAACUGCUAUAUUCCUGUUGAAUCUUAAAAUUUCACCAACAAAUUCACACAUCAAGUUCACAAAUCGAGACUAACCUUAGAAUUCAUACAAAAAAAAAGUGACAGAUAAGUUGUAUUACAGACCUCACAAAAACGUGCUAUUUUCAGACCACGGUAAGAUGUCCAAUUUAUCAUGUCACAGCCUUGAAUGGCUUGUAUUAAGAUGCUGCUAGUGAUAAUUGAUAGAUUAGCUAACCAGUUAAGUCCAUGAGACUCAACUGUAAAUUAAAUAACUUAAUCGGCGGUUUAGCUACAAAGAAACUAAUGCGGGCAUUUGAUGAAGGGUGAGGUUUUCUUACAAAAAAUCAGAUAACCAUGACUAAAAUAUGACAUACUGGCGCCAGAACUGAUGCAUGUAGAAAAUAGUGAACACCGGCAAUUCUUACAGUAAGGUUGUAAACUCACAAGAUUCGAUUUAACUGAGGCAUAUGACUCUAACAACGCGAUCUCAUCAUCAGACCGCUGUAGUGACGAAAAAGCUUGUAGUAUAGCCUACAAAAAAACAAUGAAAGAAAAUCUAGCCCACCAAUAACAAUUUCAGGAACAAAAUUCAAGACAGACAUUAGCAAAAAUUAUGGUACCUCUUCAAUAUUAUGAAGGAAGUGAUUCCUUCCAACUGAUUGCACCGAUGUCCUACAUUGUGGACAGGCAGCACUCUGGCUUUUAUCGCGCGACUUGCUCGAAGACCUUCUCAACCACUCUGAGAAGCAGCCAUUGCUAAAUUGGAAAGGAGAAAGGAUCAACACCUAGACUUUAAAAAAACUGAGAUUGGCUAAGAAAGCUAGAAAAGUACCAGAAGUUGUGGAAGCAGGGAGCAACAGUAACAACAUCAUGCCACAAAUUCAAGCAUAUGCUGCAUUUUGCAUUCUCAAUAUCGAGUAAAAUCUUAACAUUGUUUUUGUCAUGGUCCUUUGCAGCUGUUAUAUCAAAGGUAUACACUAAAUGACCUGGAAGAAAAAUAAAUCAUGAGUGUGUUACAAAAUAAUCCAGUUCAUCUGUUCAGAAUUAGAGAAGCAUGAAAAUUAGAGCCCUCCUAAAAGGUAAAGAUUUGCUGAUCCACAAGUACAAGGACUCUGUAUUAAUUUAAUGUGGCUACAGCCUUUGCAGGUUUGACAACAUUCUAAGAAUAUGAGUGGUAGGUUUGCAGAUAGUGAGGAAGUACUGGUUUGUUGAGCAAGAAAUUAUUCAAGACAAUCUGAAUGUUGUCAGUAUAUACUUACAAUAACACAUGAUAUUUUUUCCUUUUGCAGAUAUGGAGUUCUUCAGAGUUCAGGAUCACAUAAAUAAAUGUAAAAUUGUAGCAUACACAUGUUUCACUUUGUAAACGUAGGAGUUACCUUACACAGAAUGAUAAUCUUAGCUACAUAAGAAUUAAAAAUGAUCAAAGAAUGCAGAUUUAGUGAAAAAGGCACAAAAUUUUGUUAAGCUUCAUAAGGCACAAAAUAGUUAUGCAAGUAAUGGAAAGGGGUUAUGCCCGGUUCAAAAAAAAUAAGGCACAAAAUAUAUAUUUUCCUCUCCAAGGAAAAGGGAUGUAGAACAUGCAGUGGAACUAAUCCGUGGAGCACAAACUGAAAAUAGGAAACUGAUAUGACCUUCUUCCUGGGGUCCUGGGACAAUCUUGCUCCCUGGUUUAAUGUCAACUAAUUCUUGUUGGAUAACUCUUCCAUCAACAAUAAUUGCAUCCGAGCUUUAUCAAAUGGUACAUGGACAAUGGCAAAGUAUGAACGUUAGCAAGAAUAUAAUAAUAAUGGUAUACAAAACACACAAGGAUGACAUGGCAAGCAUGAAACAUUAACAAGAGUCUGAUAAAACAGUAAAAGGUACCAGAAUUUAUAAGUUACCAAGGAGCAUGGAUACACUAGUACAGCUUAAGAAAAGAAAAAAAAAA
rnacentral:lncRNA from 1 species